UCAUCUCUGGUGGUGUGAGGGGAACGCUUCCAUGGAUGGCCCCAGAGCUUCUGAAUGGAAGCAGCAGCCUGGUCUCUGAAAAGGUUUGCUAAUCCCUUCAUAUUGCUUCCGUGUCCAAGUUCAGAUAGCUAUAUCCAGGUUUACGUAUAACUUGCACACUAAUGUUGAUAUGUUCCCCUCAGGUUGAUGUCUUCUCCUUUGGGAUUGUUCUGUGGGAACUCCUCACAGGAGAGGAACCAUAUGCAGAUUUGCAUUAUGGUGUUAUCAUUGGUGGGUACACAAUCAGCCAUACCCUCGUAGAAAUUACUUGUGCAGUGGAUGGUGAGAGUCUGAUGUAAGCUGUUAUUUAACUGUCAGGUGGCAUUGUGAGCAACACUCUGCGGCCGCAGGUGCCCGACUCAUGCGACCCAGAGUGGAGGUCGCUGAUGGAGCAAUGCUGGGCGACGGAACCGUCGGAACGGCCAAGCUUCACCCAGAUCGCCGUCAGGCUGCGCGCAAUGGCAGCGUCCCAGAAGGUGCAAUCCUAGUAGCGCCAGCAGUGGUCUUGAAAAAACUUCUGGGGCCAUCCAUCCGUCUUGGACAAGUUCGUCUUCGCAUAUUGCGUAUUUUAGGAAAUCCGGUGCUGAUAUAUAUAAAUAUUAUAUAUAUGGUUGGUUUCUUUCUUUCGUUGCGUCCGUCGGUCGGUCCGUCCCUAGGGUCUAUCUAUCUGUUCAUACCCCUUCAUUGUUUCAUACCUUGUAAUCAUAAAAUCAUGAGCCCUCCCUCCCAACCUCCCCGUGUCUAGAAGUGUCGGUCGGUCGUCGUCCCAGAUCCGUAUUCAUUCAUUUAUACCCUUCCCCUUUGGCUUUGGCUUAGAGGCGCGCUGAAUAAGCCAGACUUAUUGUCAGUUAUAGAGAGUCCGAUAUUUUAUUUAUUUUCUUCCCUUCCUUUUCUUGUGGGUAAUAAUCGAGUUGUUUGGAAGUCGUCGGUUCGGUCGGUCUGUUGGUCGGGUCAGUCUGAAGAAGGUGAUGAACUGGUUGUGUAAUCUGGUCGGUGGUAAUACAAGUUUUGGGAACUGUCAGUUGAGGUCCUAUGUUGCUUGUAUAUGCUUGGUUUUUCGUGUGUUUGUGAUGUAUGCCGAAAUGGUUCGGUGUCGCUGUAAAAAGGGUCCAGUUGUUUUGUUUUAUUAUCCUGUGAGAUAAAAAAUAUAUCCAGUCAUUUGAUUUACCUUGUCAGCAUGUUGUUCCCUCUGUUUUCUGCCUGAAAGAGCUGCAGUUGUUGUACUUAGGGCUCCUUUGUUUCAAAGAAAUCCUAUAGGAUAUUUUUCUUAUGUUGGGAAUUUUUCUUAGGGCUCCUUUGUUUUGAAGAAAUCCUAUAGGAUAUUUUUCUUAAUUUGGGAAUUUUUCUUAGGGCUCCUUUGUUUCAAAGAAAUACUAUAGGAUAUUUUUCUUACGUUGGGAAUUCUUCUUAGGGCUCCUUUGUUGCAAAGAAAUACUAUAGGAUAUUUUUCUUACGUUGGGAAUUCUUCUUAGGGCUCCUUUGAAGUCCUUGGGAAUUUUUCUUACGUUGGUCCUUUGGUUCAUAAUAGGAUUGGAUGCCAUAGGGAUUUUCCAUAUGAAAUCUUUUGGAGUAGUUGCUACAUUUCGUAGGAAGGGGCUGUUUGGAUUGUGGCUACCUUUGUCAUAUAUUGCCACAUUAGCCUGACUUGAGUUGCUCAAAUGUUAGCCACACUUUUUGUGUCUAUGACAUGUGGGGUUCACUCCUCGUAAAACAAUAUUUGCCUUAGAUGUGGCUAGAACCAAACAUGAACCUAAUUUGAUCAGACUUGCCUAAGACGAGGUGUGGUAAAGUGUGGCUAGGAACCAAACAGCCCUGAAAAUUUAACAUCCACUCUAACCUCGUUUUAGAGCUUGUUUGUUUUUCAUGUGACAUCAAACACUCCCUGCUAACCUUAUAGGAAUCAAGUGCACAUGUCCUAUGCUUUUCCUAUUCCCGCAUUUUCGGAAUCUUAUUAUGAAUCAAAGAGGCCCUUGUUACUCGUGUGUCCAUCGUCCUUGGUUUUGUGCAGAUUCUGUGGCCCGUGGCUCACCCAUGCCGAUGCCAUCUUGGAUGCUGCUGACUUUGCACGGCCGAGUGAAGUCCGGGGAAGCAGGGGCGCCCAUGCCCGGGGCACAUGCGCUGCGACGACGAGGACGAUGCGGAUGCAUGUGAUGGCGUGAUGCGACGAGGUGCGUGGGGGACGGCGCGCCCAACGUGACCGGCCUGACGCGGCGCCUCGGGCAUGGGGCGACGGAUCCGAUUCUUGGGCCUGGUCUGUGGGUUGGCUGGCUGGCUGGCUGGCAAGGACUGGAUUCCAGUAGGGACGGACGGGUCGGGCGGCUCCGGUACCAGGGCCCAGAUCCGGCCGCGUCGGCCGGGCCGACGGACGGGACGGGGGUUAAUCGCAUUGUGUUACUGCUAGUACACUACAACUAGUUUACGUGCACAUCUGCUCCUUGAUCGUGCCUCCCGGGAUCUUUCGUUACCUUCCCCAGAUCUGCGCGAGGGGAUCCGGAGAUAUCUCCGCAAACCAAAGCCUUUUCUGGUUCGUGCAGUCCAUGCAUCAUGCCCGCCCAUCGCAGAUAUUCCUCCUCUCGGCGUGCCAAAUCUCUCGGCUCUCCGCCGCAAACUGAAUCUGCGGGCCUUUUCUUUCAGGGGACCCGAAUCUGCGAGGUUACGCUGGCUGGCGGUACCACGCACCAGCUGCGACACCCAACGUCCAGGCCCCCCUUGCCCUACUACCAGGUGUGAUUAUUAACUUAACGCGUUCUGGCCCCUCAUGAUUCUUCUUCUGACGGAAAACCGCCACCUGAUUUCACAGAAAAAAAAAACGCAGGAAAAGACCGAGGGUGCAGACCCGGACAAGCGCAUCAUGGUCAGUACACAUACAGGUACGCAAACAUACAGCACCCACCCACACGACACAGAUCACACGACACCUCCAUCAAUCCCACGGGAACGCAACACACAACCCACAGACACACACCACGGAACAGCCCGUAUAAACUCACUCACAGCGACGCCGCGCCUCCGAGCACGGCGGCGCGCCACAAAACAGCUACAGAUUUCUGGCAACUCCGUUACAACAUUACCACUACAUGUUUUUUCUUUUUUGGGGUACAGUACAGUACAGACGGUGUUGGGUCCGGGAGACUCCGGGGCGAGCAGCCGCCGUCGUCUCCCGGACCAAUAAAUAGCAGUAUCAAGCCUUCUCCAAGAUGGAAGCGCUAUGUACAUAAUACGGGGCAUUCGUUCUUCGCUCUCCGGCCGCGCCCGCCCUACCAGGACUGCUCGGCGUUGCCGUCACCUGCAUUGUUCCUUUUUUUUUUUUGAGAAUACGAGGGUAUGAACACCUGAGCGAUUUCAAGCAUGUGAAAGGAUUGUUUUUGAGCGGAUCGCUGUACCUUUUUCUCUUGCUCUUGUCUGAUGAGGACGAGGUAGGGUUGCUGUGCCAGUUCCGCUUGCGCUGGUUGAUGAACCAGUUGUUGAUCUGCUUCAGCUGCAGCCCUGUUUCCUGAACCAGCCGCGCCUUGUCCUCCUCCUAACAAAGCCAACACAGGGAGAUCGAUUGAUGAUCAUCGGUAGUAGCGGAAAAAAAAUUGCAGGUAAAAGGGUGAUGAUGGAAUCUGCGGACUGUCACUUACAGUUGGGUACGGCCAUUUUGCGUGGGCUUGCCACCAAGCCUUCAGAGUAGACGCCGUGUCUCCUGGGAGCUUUCCGGCUCUUCGCUUCCUCAGUAUCUCCUCCCUGAUGUCCACAAGCUUUUCUCUGUACCCCUGCAAGUCAGGAAUAGAAUUUUGUUUACAGUUCAGUUUGGACACAAACAUGGUGGCAGCUGACAGAAUGGAAGGCAGCAGUUUUACCUGUUUAAGCUCAUGCUUCAGCUCUUGCCUUACGCGCUCGACCAAGGAUCUCUCACCCUCGGUUAGCAUCCCAAAGCCCAUGCCAUCUGACACAUCAUUUCCAUCGAACAUGUUGCUCUCACUGUCGACCGGAUUGUCUUCAUCAUCAGACAUAGUUGCCCCGGUGCCUUCACCAGGAGAUGCCCCUACAGGAAGAAUCGAUAUUAGCAAAACUCAGAACUGGCCAAUCUCCAACUUAUCCUGGUCACAUUUAUAUUGCGUCUUGCCUUGGCAGGUACAAUAUAUAACUAAGCCUAUCCAGGCUUACUUAAGCUUGCUCUAGUUUUAUAUUAUUAUUAUUAUUUUUUCUGACACAAUUCUCAUUAUUAUCUGAAGGCAAACUUCCAUGUUCAAGCAUAUGCCUCUCAUCGUAAACUGAUUGAUUAUUACACAUACAAACAAAUUAUGCAAAGUUCUAUUGCCAACAAAAAACUGAAAAUCACUCCCUUUGGUUUUCACGGAGACACCAGUUUCCAGUGUGAAUGGAUAUUAGCAUGGUUUUCUCAUAGGUGUGUGCCUCGUGAUGCCUAUAGGCAGAAUGGUGGAAAAUGUGCCAUAGUAAAAGUAAAUAGAAACAGCACUAUAUGCAGACAAUCUCUGAUGAAUCAAAUUCAAGUAAAGUACAAUUCCACUAGAAAGUUUUCUAGCCAUGUCAGUUCAUUUUGACACUGAAGCGUUAUUCGAUAUGAAAAACUUUUUUGCACUAGGCAAAGGGCUUCUUUUCCUAUAUGGAUUGUAUGUCAUUUCGACAAGCAACAUAAAGUAUCUGAAAGGGUAACCCUUAUGUGAUGGUGCCCUAUUAUAUAGUCCGUGACUGUUCCGUGUGGAAGCUAAUUGCAAUAGACAUAGUAAGAGAAACUUUAUCAGGACAGCUUAGCUAAGAUUAUGAACGCAAGGUACUGUCAGUUCAGUUGCAUGGUUGGUGCAACACAAGGUUCAUGAACAACUGCCACAUACACCGAACUGAAAUCUCAAAAGGUAUAGCUUUAAAGCCAGGUUCAACAGCUUAAGUCUGCGAUUCUUGUAACUGAUAAUAUAAAAGAAGAACCGGUACUACUAUAAAGGUGGACCUAGUAUCUCAUAGGACCUACAAGGGUGUGAAUUAUGACCUAUAUUUUCUGUCAGGGAAUGCAACAAUAGAGGAAAAUGGUCAAGUUAUCAAGUUUGUUCUAGUUGAAUUUUAAAAUUAUUAACUACUUUUGUUAUAUUUGUACACGCUGGGGCCCAGGGUGCAGAGAACAGAAGUAAUAAAACCUUUCUUUUAAUUAUUUUGAGAUUCCAAAAGGUGUCCCUCAUUCUAGCAUGAUACUUGCUGUGACUGUCAAUUAACAAGCAUGUAGUGUACAGAUUGUUAAACCCUCUUCAUAGAGAACUUAAGCAACAUUCUUGCCGUUGAACUCAAUCAAAAGUCAUCGAGCUCUUUCUAGUUGAAUGGAAACAAUUAACUAUUUGUGUUAUGUUUGUACUCCCUGGAUGCAGAGAGCAGAAGCAAUGAAUCCCUUCUGUUAAAAAAGAAUUCCCCUGUGGCUGAGAUCCUAUAAAACGGCGCCCCUCAUGUAGCAUGAUACUUACUGUGCCUAUCAACCUCUUAAUAAGCAUGUAGUGUAGAGAACUAGAGAUUGUAAAACCCUCUUCCUGGAGAUAUUUAGAAGCACAUAUCUAGCUGUUCAACUGAAACUGAUGAACUUAAGAUGCUGUAUGGUACCUGUAAGACUCUGCAAAGUCUGCUCGAGCUCCCAGCAGGCCAUCACCGCUUCCAUGGCGUGGACGCGCACAUGCUGCUGGAGCUGUUCCUUGAAGGAACAGAGCAGCAGCACAUAAUGUGUCUGCAACAAGGGAAGCAGAACCUUUAGAACACAUAUAGAAAAAGGCAGGUGGUCAGUAAUAACCUUUACACAAGGAGAAUUGCCAUUUCCAGGCAAAGGAGCCCCUGCUUGCUUAGCAAAGGGACACUUGUAGUUGUUUUUUGGGGUUUGCUUUUGUCUCUAUCGCAGAGGUGAGGCGCUUGUGGUUGAGAAAACAAAGUUGCUCACAGCUAGAGCCUAGAGCAAGCAGUAAAUUAUUUGCAGGUGGGAUGGGUAAUAAUCAAGGGAUGAACUAGCAUAAUAAUACUCACAGUUGAAGAAGCUAACUUUAACCAAAUCCACCCGCAGGGAUUAGCGAGUACUAAUAAUCCCAUAUGAGCUCAUGCGCAACCAAUCAAACAUGUUGUGUGCGUUCGAAAAAAAGGGUAAUCUGGCUAGCCCGUUUGAAAUCCCAAUCCCAGCACGAGCGGGGAAAUUUCAUCGCCAAAUCCCACCCAAUCCCCAAUUUUUCGAACCACGGACGCACGCACGCACGCCGCGUCAAUCUACCAUACUACAGCACGCGCGGAGCAGCCCGGCCCAGCCGACGCGGCGUCCGUACGCGGCCGGCGUGAGGCGAGGAGGCCUCGUGGUAGCAGCUCACCAUGAAGAGGUCGAGCUCCUCGCCGCCGGCGGGCGCGCCUGCGGGGGGCAUGGGCGGCGGGGCGCGCGCGGCGAUCUGCGCGUCGAUGCGGGGGAGCUGGUCGACGGGGGUGGCGACGCGCAGGCAGGCGACGUGCGCCUCCAGCAGCCGCUCGUACAGCGGGUGCGCCUCGAUGGCCGCCUUCUCCCUCUCCCACCCGCCACCGCCCGCGCCCGCGCCCAAACCUGGCGCGAAGCCUCCGCCGGGGUUCCCCGCCGCCGCCGCAGCCGCGUCCAUCCCCAGCGCGUGGUCCUGGUGGUGGUACUGGUACGCCAUGGCCGUACCCUCGCCGCGCGCGCAGGAGAGGCGUGCGCGGGCUAGCUCCCGCUUGGUAUCCGCUGCCUUGCUCAGGGACGAGUGGUACCACCGGGUCAAGUAGAGGAGGAGGACGGAUGGGUGUAGGUGUAGGGCGCCAGCAGUAGCAGGCGGGCAGGCAGAGCAGGCGGGCGGGGCGGAGCGGUGCAGCGGCAGAGGGGACCGCGGGGCGGGGUCGAGGAGGAACCACAGCCAUAUGUAUUCGCGUUUCCACGUGGUUCGUACGACAGUCGCGACAGUGAGCUGCACACCGCUCGAGCUACAACCAAACUUUUUACGGGCGCAGCAGCCCUUUUCCUGCAUGUGAAUUCCAAAAAAAAAAAAAAAUUACCGGAUUACGGCACUUCUUACCUUGUUUGACGCAAGUUCGUCAAAAUUUAUGAGUGAGGCGUUUUGGCUCCCAGGCUCGUCUGCACCCUCGUUGAAUAAAAAAUCAAAAUAAAUGCUAGAAAAAUUCAAAAAUUUCCAAUUUUUUCGGCAUGGUAGAUAAUUUGGUGCGUGAUGUCCGUUCUAAAUUUCGAAUCAUUUGGACAUCUGAGUAGCUCUCGGUAAAAAAGACAAAUUCGGGGUUUGUUAAAUAGUGUACUGUUUAUAUACUGUUCUGACCCAUUUUGUCUUUUUUGCUGAGAGCUACUCAAAUGUCCAAAUGCUCUGAAAUUUGAAGCGCACCUCACGCACCAAAUUAUCUACCUUGCACAAAAAAAUUGGAUUUUUUUUUGAAUUUUUUGUUGACCGGGAGCAGAUGAGGUCGGGCUCAGAAUUGGAUAUUUGAAAAUUGUAUCUCAUUUUGUAGUAAAUUUUCUUCCACUUUCAACAGCAGUGCGGAUUUUUUGAAACCUGGGUCUAGGUGCACUCGAUUAGGCAGAACAAAUUAAAAAUAGUAAAGAAAAUGAAACUUUGUCGGAACAAGCAUUGUCCAGUGAAUUACUCACGUGGAAGGUUUCAGGACAAAUGACUUUUGUGGUAUUGUUGGCAAAAAAGACUAAAUCGCAGUUACAAAUUGUGUGAACAACAAGCUUAGGCCGCGUUCGGCAAUCCACCAGCUCCUUCAAAUCCUAGAAUCUACGGAGCAACUGUUAGCUCGCUCCAGGGAUUAUAACUCCAACUCCGUCCGCUCCAGGAGUGGAGCGUGGAGCGGAGGGACACCGAACGCGCCCUUAAUAUAGUGUCGGUUUUAUUUUUGUUCGUUCAGAAUACCACGAGAGUCGUUUUGUUGCGGAACUUUAAACGCGGGUAAUACACUGGACAAUGCUUGUUCCGAAGAAGUUUCAAAAAAUAUUUGACCAUUUUUACUUUUCCUUUUGCAAUUCGGGUGCAUGUGCACCCUUGUCCCAUUGUGUGUUCUGGCCUCUAAGGCCUUCUUUAUAGAUAGAUUGGAACAUGGGAAUAGAAAAAAAAACUAGGAUAUCACUGCCAUGCAUGUCCACCCAGAUAGUAUAAGAUUUUGUUCCCACCUAAGUGUGUUCGAUUGCAUCAUAGAAAAAACAAAGAUUUUUUGCAUGAGGUUAGAGUGGCUGUAGUUUUUCCUUUGAAAUGCAGUGUAAUGGAUUUCUUAGGAAAAAUUUCUAUAGGAUUCAAUCGUAUGAACCAAUGAACCAACAUAGAACAAACUCUUUUUGAUUCAAAGGAUUUUCAUAGGAUCUUUGAAGGAUUAGAAUCCUUAGGAAUUUUUCCUACGUUGAUCGUUUGAUUCGUAGGAUUGAAUCCUGUAGGGUUUUUUUCCUAAGGAUUCAUUUGUACUACAUUUUACAGGAAUUCUAACAUCCGUUCCAACCUCUUGAAAGAAAUCCUUUGUUUUUCCCGUGACACAAUCAAACAAACUCAAAUCCUAUAGGGAUCCAAUGGACAUGCCAUUCCAAUCCUACGUUUUCCCUAUUCCUGUGUUUUUGCAAUCCUAUGAAGGAUUUGUAGCCUCCACUAUUCCUAUGAAAAUCCUCUUAGUCAAAGAGGCCCUUAACAGCGAACAGAGCAUAACUUAAAUGAUUAGAUUCCUUGUGGUGGAACCAGCCCACCAGGGUUAAAGUCCUAGACUUGGCACUGGUGCUUGCACUUUCCUAGAUUUAUUCCAGGCUUUCUGGUGAUGUUCGUUUAGUGGGAGGAGACGUUUCCGUAGACUACGAAGGCGUCUGUGAUGACUUUGUCAAUUUCAAGAUGUCAAUCUCAGUGGGAGGAGAUGUUCAUGUCGUCUUCGGGCUGGCUUGGUGGUACAGUCUGGGAGCCUGACGCCCCGUCAUUGUGGUCUUGCUUUUUCAGGAUAAACUCGCUAGUCCGUCCUCUUUAGCUCCACAACUAGAGUUGGAAUACAACUCUUCAUACUCGAUCUGUGCUACAGGCUCCUUGGCAUGCGAUGUACAGACUAUAGCCCGACCUGUGUCGAUGGCCAGGAGAAAAUGGAGUUCUGGGGGUAUCAAAUCAUCGGGCUAUGGAGCUGGUGAAUGCACAUCGUUGACCAUAGACGCCACUUAUGGAAGAAAAGAACAAUUGAUCAGCCAAGAACGUGCUGAUUUGAGGAAAUUGAAGGGAUAAGAAACCCUAAACUCUGCUACAAGUAAGUAGGACGAGAAGCCGCAGUGGGUCACCUCUUCAGGGAAAAUGAUAAUCAAGCCCUAAUAAAUCAUCCCUAAAUUAUUGAGCUAUAUCUAUUUUGGAAUCAAUUCAAAAAUCAAAGGGAUGGUUAUAAAAAAUGGCUUCACACUUAUUUUGGCAGAAAGUGAAUUUCAUAAGUCCAAAUUGUGAGCUUGACUUUCUGCUAAAUUUCCAAAUUGGAUUUGAAAUAUAUUUCGUUUUAAAACCAAAUUGAAAUCCAAGAGGGAAUAAGGUGCAGAAAAUAUAUGUUCGAAAUGCCCAAACAAAAUGUUGACAAGCUCAAAAAUAUUCACAAAUGAAUUUAGAGCAAGUUUGCUUUUGGAAGAAAAUUCAAAUUCAAAGUAAAAUAAAAAUAAUUGAGGAAAACAGAAACAAAAAAAUAGAAAAGAAGAAAAUAAAAAGGAAACAUAAACUACGCGCUCAACCUUGCAAACCUGAACGCGGCCAGCGAGCCAGCCCACCCGCGCUCGGCCUCUCUCUCCCCCCUCUCCCGUUGACACCCUCGGCCCUCACGUCAUCCUCCACGUUGCGGCAACCGCCCACGGUGCCCACGACUAGAGCACCCCAUGCACACGUUAGCACGCUCGCUCGUCCAUGGCCACGCCCGCGCCAGGUCGACCUGAAGCCCUCGCCCUCCUCUGCAAAAGCCCAAACACCACAGCCCCUCUCGUCGCCAGGCUGCUCCACCGUGACCUCACCUUCUCCGUUCUGCCCUAGCUCAACGCCGGAAAAAUUCUGGCAACCCCGACGCCCUUAGCACCAACCAUUGCCACCACUCCACUCCCCGAGCCACGGCGAACCUCCCAGACAUCCACGUAGUGCCCUAGGCCCACCGGAGCAUCGAGUUCAUCAAAAGCCGAAGCUCUCCGCUGCCGUGAACUCCAUUCUGGCGAUCACCAGAGGAAAUGACCCCACCACCUUGUCCAUCAAGUCCACCUCACAUGUGCACAACCCCUGACUCUUCCAUUUGUCAAGAAGCGCGCCAAAUCGAGCCCCACAUCACCACCCAAGAGCUUUGCCGCCUCGUGCAUCCCCCCGCGAGCCCCUCGUCAUCGUCUCUGUCGUCCCCAGCCAUGUCCGAGGCCACCAAUGGCCCCACUGGUACGUCUCCUACGUAUCUAUACUUUUUGAUUGUUUCAUACCAUUAUCAUACCACUUCGACAUACUUUUGGCAACAAUUUAUAUAUUUUUCGGACUAACAUAUUGAUCUAGUGUCCAGUGCCAGUUUCCUAUUUUUUUUGCAUGUUUUUGUAUUUCACAGAAAAUCCAUAUCAAACGAAGUGUAAACGCGAUAAAAUUUUAUGCAAAUUUUUUUGUAAUAUAUCUGAAUUUUUGGCGCAAGAAUAAACGCAAAUGGAGGCCCAUGGGCUCCACAAGGCAGGGGGCGACACUACCCCCCCCCCAGCGCGCUAGGGUGCCUGAUACGUCUCCAAUGUAUCUAUAAUUUAUGAAGUAUUCAUGCUGUUAUAUUAUCAUUCUUGGAUAUUUUACAAUCAUUUUAUGGCAACCUUAUAUCAUUUUUUGGGACUAACCUAUUGACAUAGUGCCCAGUGCCAGUUGCUGUUUUUUGCUUGUGUUUUACUUCGCAGAAUAUCAGUACCAAACGCAGUCCAAACACAGCAAAGCUUUUUGGAGAUUUUUUUUGGAGCAGAAGACAUCCAAUGGGCCCUUAGAGAUUGCACUAGCGAAAGUAUGGACCCUAGGCCUCAUUUUUAAGCAUUGCAACACCGUUUGUGCUUGCUUUUGCUACUUGCUACCUUGCUGUUUUUAUUGUUCCUAUUACAAAAAUCAAUAUCUACUAUCAUUACUACACUUUUAUCACCAUCUCUUCGCCUAACUAGUGCACCUAUACAUUUUACCAUUGUAUUUGGUGUGUUGGGGACACAAGAGACUUUUUAUUAUUUGGUUGCAAGGUUGUUUGAGAGAGACCAUCUUCGUCCUACGCCUCCCACGGAUUGAUAAAUCUUAGGUCAUCCAGUUGAGGAAAAUUUGCUACUGUCCUACAAAACUCUGCGCUUGGAGGCCCAACACGAGUCUACAGGAACAAGUUGUGUAGUAGACACCAGUGCCUUGUGGGCACCCCGUAAGUUGGUUGGAACUCUUCUUUGGCCGCAAGGAAGCUAAUAUCGGCAAAAAACCGUGUUCAAAUUUCAGCCCAAUCGGAGUUAUGGAUCUCCGGAUAUUUAAGAAACGGUUUUCGGCCAAAAAUGAGGACGUGAAAUAGAGAAGUAAACAGAGAGAGGUCCAAUCUAGAGGGGUUCCCGCCCCUCGGGGGCCAUGGCGGCCAAGGACCAGAAGGGAAAUCCUUCUCCCAUCUAGGGAGAAGGCCAAGCAAGAAGAAGAAGGAGGGGGGGGACCUAUCCCCUCUCUCCUAGUGGCGCCGGAGCAUGAUACAUCUCCAACGUAUCUAUAAUUUAUGAAGUAUUCAUGCCAUGUUUGCAACAAUUUUAUAUGGUUUUGGUAGGAUUUUAUUAGAACUAAUCCGGACUGACGCUGUUUUCAGCAGAACUACCGUGGUGUCGUUUUUUAUGCAAAAAUAAAGUUCUAGGAAUGGGCUGAAAUUUACGGUGAUUUUUUAUGUACCAAAAGAGACCCCUGAAGCACAAGAGUUGGUCCAGAAGAGUCCCCAGGCAACCACAAGGGUGGAGGGCGCGCCCCCUGUCUUGCCGUUGCCUCAUGGGCCCCCUUGACGUGAGACCGAUGCCGAAAAAUCCUAUAAAUACCAAAACCCCAGAAAAGAAACCUAGAUCGGGAGUUCCGCCGCCCCAAGCUUCUGUAGCCACGAAAAACCAAUCGUGAGCCCGUUUCGGCACCCUGUUGGAGGGGGAAACCAUCACCGAAGGCCAUCUUCAGCAUCCCGGCGGUCUCCAUGACGAGGAGGGAGUAACCCUCGGGGUUGAGGGUAUGUUUUUAUUGUUCCUAUUACAAAAAUCAAUAUCUAUUAUCAUUACUACACUUUUAUCACCAUCUCUUCGUCGAACUAGUGCACCUAUACAAUUUACCAUUGUAUUGGGUGUGUUGGGGACACAAGAGACUCUUUGUUAUUUGGUUGCAGGGUUGUUUGAGAGAGACCAUCUUCAUCCUACGCCUUCCAUGGAUUGAUAAACCUUAAGUCAUCCACUUGAGCAUGAUUGCAAUGUUGUUAGUACGAAUUCUUUGAAUAUCCAUGAUGCCAAUGAUAUGCAAAGUCACAUGCUUGGGGAUGCUAUGAUUGACGAAGAAGAUAUUUUUUGUCCCCCAAGUUAUGUUGAGUAAAUUUAUUAUGAUGAUAGCAUGCCUCCUAUUUUUGAUGAUUACAAUGAUGAAAGUGGAUUCUGAGUGGUCAUGACUUUAUUUAGUGAUGAAUCCACUAUUUUGGAAGAGGUUCCAAUUGAUUAUGAGAACAAAGUUGCUAUCUAUGAUGAUUAUUGUGAUGACAUGUAUGCUAUAAAGAAUAAUGAUAACCGUGAAGCUUGUCAUCAUGAUUUUAUUUUUCAAUUGGAUUAUGUAUCUCAUGAUAUAUAUUGUUGAAUUCAUUCAUGAUGCUACUGAAAACUAUUAUAAGAGAGGAACAUAUGCUUUUACAUAUUGCAAUAAUAUCAAGUUUCCUUUUGAUGUGUUGAAAGUUUUGAAGUUUUGCUUGUUUUACCUUCCUAUGCUAGUUGAUUCUUGUUCCCUUAAUUUGUUUGCUCACAAAAUCUCUAUGCAUGGGAAGUGGGUUAGACUUAAAUGUGCUAGUCAUAUGCUUCAUGAUUCUCCCAUUAUGUUUCAAUUCUUAUCUUUCAUAUGAGCAUCAUUGAAAUCAUCAUGCCUAGCUAGGGGCGUUAAACAAUAGCGCUUGUUGGGAGGCAACCCAAUUUUAUUUUGUGUUUCUUGUUUUUGCUUCUGUUUUUGAAUAAAUACACAAUAUUACUUCUGUAGUAAUUGUGUUUUAGUGUUUUAAUUAGUGUUUGAGCCAAGUAAGACCUUUGGGAUGGUCUAUGGUGAUAAUUGACUUGAUUUAGUGCAAAAACAGAAACUUUUGCUCUCAGUCCAAGAAUUUUGAAAAUUCACUGGAACGUGAUUUUGAUCUGAAUUUUUUACACAAGAUUUAUAUACAAAUUGCCCAGGUUGUCCUAAUUUUUCAGAAUUUUUGGAGUUACAGAAGUAUACGAAGUUUCCAGAUUGCUACAGACUGUUCUGUUUUUGACAGAUUCUGUUUUCAUUAUAGUGUUUGCUUAUCUAUUAUAUACAUAUAACAAAAGUCUAACAAGCGAUCACGUUCGUCCGCAUAGGUUAAAUUAUCUUGACCAUCAAUUUCAUAUACUAACGGUUAGGAUUUAAUAUAUGUAGCGUUACAUACAAAUAUAGGUAUGCACAAACAAUUGGCAUGGCACGGAAAAAUAGUUCAGCACAUCUUUGGUAUAAGUCAUAUAUUUUUCUAUUACAAAAAUCUGUCCAAGACAAUUAGAAGCGUACUAUGUUGGCAUCGUAAAACAAGGCUGCCAUCUCCCAUAAAAAAAAAUAGGACAACGCUAACGCUCACAUGUGUGGUGGGAGCCAAACCCGCCCACACGCCCUAUAGCACACAGACUACGUCAUGUCACCGCAUGCAUGCAUGUGGAAAUCUUUUUAGAUUUUCUAUUUUUAAAAUGUUUUAUCUCUUAAAUGAAAAAUCCGAUUGAAGAUCCAUUUUCACCAUUAAAUCCCUCGCGACGAGAUCUUCGAAACUAGAUCUCAUAUCAAUAUAUUUCGACGAAUUAUUUUUUUGGGUUAAAAGUUGCAAUGUCUAUUGCACAUGAAUUGCCAUGAUGUUUAUACUGAAGUUGCCAUGAUAUGUUUCAGCUAUUUUCUUCUACAUUUAAAAGUAAACUUUGAUAUAUUAUAAAACGGGGAAUUAAGAAACUAGACUUGUCAUGCACCAUAAAUUAAAAUUAACAUGAUACAUGCACUUAAAAUUGCCAUGGUUCAUAGAAAAAAAAUAUUUUCAUGGUCAAAGUACUGGAAUUGCCAUAAUCGAAGAACUAAAAUUGCCAUGAUCUACAAACUAAAAUUGCCACAUGGCAACUUUAGUUUAAGCACUAUGGCAACUAAAGUGUAAACAUCAUGGCAACUUUUGGGCAAAAAAAAUCGUCGAAACAUAUCAACAUGGGGUCUAGUUUUGAAGAUCUCGUCGAGACGGAUUUAAUGCUGAAAACGGAUUUUUUUAAUUAGGAGAUAAAAUAUUUUUAAGCCAAAAAUCCAAAAGAUUUCUGCUAAUGUCAUCUGUUCAUACGUGACAAAAUGAGUGGUGAUGAAGGCGUGUGAGCGAUGUGCAAACGCCCACACGUGUGGGCGUUAGUUUUUCCAAAAAAAUAAAAGCACGGCUACCAAACAUUUAGAAAAAGGCACAACUGCCAACUAUAAAGAGUUAGAAAAAAUAAAGAGGCCGAGCGCCACCCCCAAAAACAAGAGUCCGAUUAGAACUUUCUUCUAAGUCAUACUAUGUUUUUUCUCUUAUUAAAAAAAAAUCUGUCCUAGACAACUAGAAGUGAACGCAUGUUGGGGAUUAUAAAGCAAGGCUGCCCUCUCUCGUAUAAACAGCACGGCUACCAAUAAGCUAAGAAGGCAGGCUUCCUAUUAUAAUGAGUCAGAGCGCCCAUGCAAAGAAAAAACAAAGGGUCCGAUAUUUUUUUCUCUGUUUUUGAGUGGAGAGCGUCCGAUCACAAAUUCGCAAUACUAUAUCUGGUGACAUCAUCAAUGAUGUCAGCCAAAAUAAAUUAGGAUAUGAUUUUUUUCAAUUAAUCAAUCUGGACAUCUACAUUAGCGCUCCACGUGGGAUAAGAAACUUUAUCUACGUCCCUAAAAAAAUAUUCCCCUACCCAUCGGCGAUAACAAACUUUCUUUACCCGAAUAAAGUAAAGUGCAUGUAUAUAUACGUACAUAGCAUAGAGUUUGGAGCAGACGAAUACUCAAUAUAUUUCUGUUUAAUAGUAAAAUAUUUCUACAAUUUGAUGUUAGCCACAAUAAAAAAUGAAUGGACAGCUGAUACUCAACAUUUCCAGGGAUCGAAGAGAACAGAAAAAAUAUAUUAGACAAUACAUUGGUCCACAUGGGCAAAAUAAUUUGCUAUGUAGAUUGUGUGAUGGGUCCUCAUUCUCAUAGUUGAGAUUAAAAACUGGAACUAAAAGUAAUGUAUGUAUUAGUAGCCAAAUCAGCUAUGAUGGAAAUCAAUCUAAAGCAAUCCAUAUUGCAUGAAGUGCAUGCAACACCAUCAUUGCAGGUUGGACCAUUUGACCAAUUACUCAGUCUAAUCUAUUAUAUAUCGAUUAUGAGAAUCAAUCAUAUUAGAUAGCCAUGAAAUAACAUCUGAAGAUGAUUUUCCACAAGAGCAAUAAUGCAAAAAAAGUUACUUAUAUGUCAUGAUCAAAUUUAUUCUCUAAGUUUUGUUUAAUAAGGCACCUCGCGAUUUUUUCAAACAACAAAAGAACAUUAUUAAUCAAAAGAUAUAUGUGGUAGUAAAAGUAUGAGCAGAGACUCGAUAGAAAUAUAAGUAUGAUUUUGAUAGGGGCAUAAAAAUAGAAGUGCGGUGAACAGAAGACUAAAAAUGAUUAUAUCAAGCUAAGUAACAUGUCUCCUUGGAAUUGAAUUUUGUACAACUUUCCUAAGGAAAAUGUAUAGGUGAAUAUAAUUUAAUAAAAAUUAGCAUGGCAGGAAAAAUUAUUGACAAAAAACUAAGCACAACAAUAUGUAAUAAAUGUACAACCACGAAUGCACCAGCCAUCACACCGAUAGUGUUGUGUCAUGUGGAGGACGAAAAACCAUGAUUGGAUGUAAGACAUCCAUAUUUAGAUUUAUUCCAAUGUUGAAGUUUAUUUAUAUAUUAAAAUUAACAAAAAGACUUAUGCCACCUUUGGUGUCAUUGGAAAUCAAUGAUGAAUGUAAAAGAGACCGAGAGCGAGAACGAAUGUAUGUUGCCUAACUUUUAAAAAUUAGCUGCUAAUAUAUUCAUGACAUUUUGAUUGUCAAUGAUAAUAGGACGAUCCUUUAUCAUUUAUUUACUUAAUGUACCAACAUUGGCAUAUUCAUAUGAAAGUAAUGAACAAAUUAGUUAUAACUUAAAAAUCUAGCCACGCGAAUGCGCGGGUCACUCUGCUAGUUUUGAUGAAUUUAUGGGUAGUAUCGGAGGGUAUGAACCAUGGAGAAGUUGGAAUACAUUAGAUAUAACACCAAUAUAAAUUUAGAAUGAGUUCACAACAGUACCUAAGUGAUGAUUUGCUUUAUUAUACUAACGGAGCUUACGAGUUAUCUGUUGAGUUUUCUGUUGUGAAGUUUUCAAGUUUUGGGUAAAGAUUUGAUGGACUAUGGAUAAGGAGUGGCAAGAGCCUAAGCUUGUGGAUUCCCAAGGCACCCCAAGGUAAUAUUCAAGGACAACCAAGCAUCUAAGCUUGGGGAUGCCCCGGAUGGCAUCCCCUCUUUCGUCUUCAAUCCAUCGGUAAAUUUUCUUGAGGCUAUAUUUUUAUUCACCACAUGAUAUGUGUUUUGCUUGGAGCGUCAUUUUAUUUGGUUUAGAUUUGCUUGUUGUUAUUUAGAAUAAUGUUUUGUAUUUUUUAUUUCAAUAAAAGUGUCAAGGAUAGCCUUCACCAUGCACAAUUUACAUGUAUAUGAGUUGCUGUUUCAAAACAGAAAGUUUGUCGCUAUUGCAAAAAUUCCCUAGAAAAGUCAGAAUGUGAUAAAAGCUUGAAAUUUUGACACAAUAUGAAAUGAUAAAUUCUCUACAGUGUGGUAAUUUUUCAGAAUUUUUGGAGUUAGGGAAGUAUGAUUCCUUUUGCAUUCUUUACAGACUGUUUUGUUUAGACAAAUUGUUGUUAUGUUUGCUUGUUUAAUGAUUCUAUUUGAGGACGGGAGUAUUAAAUAUGCACAGGCAUUUAGCAUGCAAUGUCAAAUUAUAAUUUUAGUGAUUUUCUACACUAGCAAAUGAUAAGGUUUUGCAUGGAUUUAUACUAACCUAUCUCACGAGUUCUUGUUGAGUUUUGUGUGGAUGAAGUUUUUAAGAUUUAGGGAAACCGUGAUGUAAAAGGAAUUAAGGAGACACAAGAGCUCAAGCUUAGGGAUGCCCAAGGCAUCCCAAAAUAAUAUUUCAAGAAGUCUCAAGCAUCUAAGCUUGGGGAUGCCCCAAUUGGCAUCCCACCUUUCUUCUUCAACAAUGAUCAGUCAUUUUUGGUUGAGCCUAACUUUUUGCUUCUUCACAUGAUACAUGCUAUCCUUGGAAUGUCAUUUUAUUUUGUUUCGCUUGCUGUUUGAAUAAAGUACUUAAGAUCUGAAAUUUUAUUUAUGAGAGGAGAGUCUUCACACAGCUACAUAAUUAUUCAACUACUCAUUGAUCUUCACUUAUAUCUUUUUUGGAGUAGUUUGUCAGUUUCAAGAAGGAUAUAAUAAAAACUUUCAUAAAGAGAAUUGAAUACUAUGAGAAGUUUGAUUCCUUGCAUUUGUUCUGAGAUAUAAAGAUGGUGAUAUUAGAGUCAUGCUAGCUAGUGAGUAAUUGUGGAUUGGUAGAAAUACUUGUGUUAAAGUUUGUGAUUCCCGAAGCAUGCACGUAUGGUCAACCAUUAUGUGAGGAAGUCGGAGCUUGAUUUAUUUAUUGAUUGUCUUCCUUAUGAGUGGUGGUCGGGGACGAGCGAUGGUCUUUUCCUACCAAUCUAUCCCCAUAGGAGCAUGCGUGUAGUACUUUGUUACAAUAGCUAAUUGACUUUUGCAAUAACUAUGUGAGUUCUUUAUGACUAAUGUUGAGUCCAUGGAUUAUACACACUCUAACCCUUCCACCAUUGCUAGCCUCUCUAGUACCGCGCAACUUUUGCCGGUGCAUUACACCCACCAUAUACCUUCCUCAAAAAAUCCACCAUACCUACCUAUUAUGGCAUUUCCAUAGCCAUUCUGAGAUAUAUUGCUGUGCAACUUCCACCCUUCCGUUUAUUAUGACACGCUCCAUCAUUGUCAUAUUGCUUUGCAUGGUCACGUAGUUGGCAUAGUAUUUGUGGCUUGGCCACUGUUCAUAUUUUUUUAUACAUGUCACUCUUGAUCAUUGCACAUCCCAGUACACCGCCGGAGGCAUUCAUAUACAGUCAUAUUUUGUUCUAGUAUCGAGUUGUAAUCCUUGAGUUGUAAGGUAAAUAAAAGUGUGAUGAUCAUCAUUAUUAGAGCAUUGUCCCAUGUGAGGAAAGGAUGAUGGAAGCUAUGAUUCCCUCACAAGUUGGGAUGAGACUCCGGAUUUAAAAAAAUAAAAAGAGGCCAAAGCGCCCAAAAAAAGAGGCCAAAGAGCCCAAACAAAAAAAGGAAGAGAAAAUAAAAAAAUGAGAGAAAAAGAGAGAAGGGACAAUGUUACUAUCUUUUACCACACUUGUGCUUCAAAGUAGCACCAUGUUCUUCAUGAUAGAGAGUCUCCUAUUUUGUCACUUUCACAUACUAGUGGUAAUUUUUCAUUAUAGAACUUGGCUUGUAUAUUCCAAUGAUGGGCUUCCUCAAAUUGCCCUAGGUCUUCAUGAGCAAGCAAGUUGGAUGCACACCCACUUAGUUUUCAUUUUGAGCUUUCAUACACUUAUAUAGCUCUAGUGCAUAAGUUGCAUGGCAUCCCUACUCACUCACAUUGAUAUCUAUUGAUGGGCAUCCCCAUAGCCCGUUAAUACGCCUAGUUGAUGUGAGACUAUCUCCUUCUUUUUGUCUUCUCCACAACCACCAUAUUUUAUUCCACCUAUAGUGCUAUAUAUAUAUCCAUGGCUCACGCUCAUGUAUUGCGUGAAAGUUGAAAAAGUUUGAGAACAUCAAAAGUAUGAAACAAUUGUUUGGCUUGUCAUCGGGGUUGUGCAUGAUUUAAUACUUUGCGUGAUGAACAUGGAGCAUAGCCAGACUAUAUGCUUUUGUAGGGAUAACUUUCUUUGGCCAUGAUAUUUUGAGAAGACAUGAUUUGUUUAUUAGUAUGCUUGAAGUAUUAUUGUUUUUAUGUCAAUAUUAAACUUUUGUUUCGAAGCUUACGGAUCUGAACAUUCAUGCCACAUUAGAGAAGAUUACAUUGAUAAAUAUGCCAGGUAGCAUUCACACUUCAUAAAUUCUUUCUUUUAUCAUUUACCUACUCGUGGACGAGUGAUACGUCUCUAACGUAUCUAUAAUUUUUGAUUGUUCCAUGCUAUUCUAUUAUUUGUUUGGAUGUUUUAUAUGCAUUAAUAUGCUAUUUUAUAUUAUUUUUGGGACUAAUUAACCUAGAGCCCAGUGCCAGUUUCUGUUUUUCCUUGUUUUUGAGCUUCGCAGAAAAGGAAUAACAAACGGAGUCCAAACGGAAUAAAACUUCACGAUGAUUUUCUUGGACCAGAAGACACCCAGGGGACUUGGAGUUCAAGUCAGAAGAGCCACGAGGCGGCAACAAGGGUGGAGGGCGCGCCCCCCUACCUUGUGGGCCCCUCGUGACCUUCCUGACCUAGCCCUUCCUCCUAUAUAUUCACAUAUAUUCCCAAACCACCAGAAGCAUCCACGAAAACACCUUUCCACCGCCGCAACCUUCUGUUCCCGUGAGAUCCCAUCUUGGGGCCUUUUCCGGCAUCCUGCCGGAGGGGGAUUCGAUCAUGGAGGGCAACUACAUUAGCUCUAUUGCCCUUCCGAUGAGGCGUGAGUAGUUUACCAUAGACCUACGGGUCCAUAUGUAGUAGCUAGAUGGCUUCUUCUCUCUCUUUGAUUCUCAAUACCAUGUUAUCCUCGAUGUUCUUGGAGAUCUAUCCGAUGUAAUCUUCUUUUGCGGUGUGUUUGUCGAGAUCUGAUGAAUUGUGGAUUUAUGAUCAGCUUAUUUAUGAAUAUUAUUUGCAUCUUCUCUCAAUUCUUAUAUGCAUGAUUUGGUAUCUUUGUAUUUCUCUUCGAAUUAUCGGUUUUAUUUGGCCAACUAGAUUGGUUUUUCUUGCAAUGGGAGAUGUGCUUAGCUUUGGUUUUAAUCUUGCGUGAUUUCACCCAGUGACAAAGUAGGGGUAGCGAGACACGUAUUGAAUUGUUCCCAUCGAGGAUAAAAAGGUGGAGUUUAUAUCAUAUUGCAUGAGUUUAUUCCUCUACAUCAUGUCAUCUUACUUAAGGCGUUACUCCGUUCUUUAUGAACUUAACACUCUAGAUGCAUGUUGGAUAGCGGUCGAUGUGUGGAGUAAUAGUAGUAGAUGCAGGCAGGAGUCGGUCUACUUGACACGGACGUGAUGCCUAUAUUUCAUAAUCAUUGCCUUGGAUAUCGUCAUAACUUUCACUUUUCUAUCAAUUGCUCGACAGUAAUUUGUUCACCCACCAUAUUAUUUGCCUUCAUGAGGGAAGCCUCUAGUGAAACCUAUGGCCACAGGAUCUACUAUUUUGCAAUCUUUUAUUUUCAGAUCUAUAUACCAGAAAAUCCCAAAAAUAUUUUAUCUUUUGUUUAGUUUUAUUUAUCUAUCUCUAUCAGAUCUCACUUUUGCAAGUAACCGUGAAGGGAUUGACAACCCCUUUAUCGCGUUGGGUGCAAGUGUUUGAUUGUUUGUGCAGGUAUUAGUGAUUUGCGCGUUCUUCUCCUACUGGAUUGAUACCUUGGUUCUUAACUGAGGGAAAUGCUUAUCUCUACUUUGCUGCAUCACCCUUUCCUCUUCAAGGGAAAAACCAAUGCAAGCUCAAGAAGUAGCAGGAAGAAUUUCUGGCGUCGUUGCCGGGGAGAUCUAUGCCAAGUCAAGACAUACCAAGUACCCAUCAUAAAACUCUCAUCUCUUGCAUUACAUUAUUCGUCAUUUGCCUCUCGUUUUCCUCUCCCCCACCUCUAAAACGAUUUUCAAAAAGAUUUGCCUUUUUAUUCGCCCUUCUUUUCAUUCGUAUUUUCGUUUGCCUUUAUGUCUUACUUGGUUCGUUUGCUCGUUCGCUUGGUAUAAUUGUGUGUUUAUUGAAAAUCAGAAACCAAAAAGUUUAUGGAUCCUCAUCCACUUGCUAAUCUUUUUAAGAUAUCCAAUUAUGAUGAACCAAUUGCUAGUGAGUUGAGUGCACUAGAUUAUCUUUAUGAGGUUUUUCUUGAAAUUCGUGAAUCUGAAAAUUGUGAUGAAGUGUUGAAAGAAGGAAAUUAUAAAGUGAUUCACGAUAGUGCCUUGAAUGACAAGCAUGAUUGCAAUGAUGUUAUUAUAAAUCCCGUUAAUGUCAAUUGUGUUAAUGAUAUGCAAAACCCUAAGCUUGGGGAUGCUAAUUUUGCUAUGUUUACUACUUGUUGCAAUGAUCAUGAUUGGGGUGAUUCUCCUUAUGAUCUUCAAAAUUCAUUUAAGCCCCAUGAUGAAUAUGAGAUUGAUAAUAGUGUUUGCAAUAAUAUUGAAAGUGGGUUUGGAAGAGUGUCAACUUUAGAUCCCACAUAUUUGGAGAAUGUUCAAUCUUAUGAAAUUUUUGAUAAAAGUGGGUCUGGAGAGGUCAUGACUUUAGUUAAUGUUAAUCCCACUAUUUUGGAAGAGUGUCAACUUCGCCUGCAUGUGGAUCGUGUUAAGAAUAUGUUAUGUGGUUGCUAUUUUGUUGAAUUUGAUUAUGAUCCUACAUGUAAUUAUUAUGAGAGAGGAAAAUAUGGUUGUAGAAAUUUUCAUGUUACUAAAUUACCUCUCUUCAUGUUGAGAUUGCUAUAGUCUUUUUUUUCCUUGCAUAUGCUUGUUUUUGCUUGCCUUGAUAAUUUGUUUGCUUAUAUAAUGCAUAUGCAUAGGAAGUAUGUUAGACUUAUAUGUGUUUGUCACGUGUUUUAUGAUGCUCUCUUUGUGCUUCAAUUCUUCUCUUUUAUGCGAGCAUCAUUGAAAUCUCAAUGCCUAGCUAAAAGGCUUUAAAGAAAAGCGCUUGUUGGGAGACAACCCAAUAUUUUUCGUUGCUAUUUCUCAAUAAAUAAUUCAUCUAGCCUCUUGUUAGAUGUGUUUUUGUGUUUUAAUUAGUGCUUGUGCCAAGUAAGACCUUUGGGAUGGCUUACGGUGAUAGUUGUUUUGAUCUUGCUGAAAAACAGAAACUUUUGCGCCCAGGAAAAUAAUUUUCAUUUUUUACAGAAGCGUGCUUUUGAUCUGAUUAUUUUUGCACAAGAUUGGUACACGAAUUGCCCAGGUUGUACUAAUUUUUCAGAAUUUUUGGAGUUACAGAAGUAUCCGAGGUUUACAGAUUGUUACAAACUGUUCUGUUUUUGACAAAUUCUGUUUUCUGUGUGUUAUUUUCUUGUUUUGAUGAAUCUAUGGGUUGUAUCGGUGGGUAUGAACCAUGGAAAAGUUGGAAUGCAGUAUAUAUUACACCAAUAUAAAUAAAGAAUGAGUUCACAACAGUACCAAGAGUGGUGAUUUAAUUUCUUAUACUAACAGAUCUUAUGAGAUUUUCUGUCGAGUUUUGUGUUGUGAAGUUUUCAAGUUUUGGGAGAAGAUUUGAUGGACUAUGGAAUAAGGAGUGGCAAGAGCCUAAGCUUGGGGAUGCCCAAGGCACCCCAAGGUAAUAUUCAAGGACAACCAAGAGCCUAAGCUUGGGGAUGCCCCGGAUGGCAUCCCCUCUUUCGUCUUUGUCUAUCGGUAAAUUUACUUGAGGCUAUAUUUUUAUUCACCACAUGAUAUGUGUUUUGCGUGAAGCGUCUUGUAUGAUAUGAGUCUUUAAUUUUUAGUUUGCCACAAUCAUCCUUGCUGUACACACCUUUUUAGAGGGACACACAUGAAUCGUAAUUUAUUAGAAUACUCUAUGUGUUUCACUUAUAUCUUUUGAGCUAGGCAAUUUUGCUCUAGUGCUUCACUUAUAUCUUUUUAGAGCACGACAGUGGUCUUAUUUUUUAGAAAUUAUUGAACUCUCAUGCUUCACUUAUAUUAUUUUGAGAGUCUCUCUAAAUAGCAUGGUAAUUUGCUUUGGUUAUGAAUUUAGUCCUAAUAUGAUAGGCAUCCAAGAGGGAUUUAAUAAAAACUGUCAUAUAAAAGUGCAUUGAAUACUAUGAUAAGUUUGAUUCCUUAUGAUUGUUUUGAGAUAUAAAGAUGGUGAUAUUAGAGUCAUGCUAGUGAGUAAUUGUGGAUUCUAGAAAUACUUGUGUUAAAGUUUGUGAUUCCCGUAGCAUGCAGGUAUGGUGAACCGUUAUGUGAUGAAGUCGGAGCAUGAUUUAUUUAUUGAUUGUCUUCCUUAUGAGUGGCGGUCAGGGACGGGUGAUGGUUUUUUCCUACAAAUCUAUCCCCCUAGGAGCAUGUGCGUAGUACUUUGUUUCGAUGACUAAUAGAUUUUUACAAUAAGUAUGUUAGUUCUUUAUGACUAAUGUUGAGUCCAUGGAUUAUACGCACUCUCACCCUUCCACCAUUGCUAGCCUCUCUAGUACCGCGCAACUUUCGCCGGUGCCAUACACCCACCUAUUACCUUCCUCAAAAUAGCCACCAUACCUACCUAUUAUGGCAUUUCCAUAGCCAUUCCGAGAUAUAUUGCCAUGCAACUUCCACUGUUCCGUUUUAUUAUGACACGCUCCACCAUUGUCAUAUUGCUUUGCAUGAUCAUGCAGUUGACAUCGUAUUUGUGGCAAAGCCACCAUUAAUAAUUAUUAUAAAUUCUUGAGUCAUUGCACAUCCCGGUACACCGCCGGAGGCAUUCGUAUAGAGUCAUAUUUUGUUCUAAGUAUCGUGUUGUAAUUCUUGAGUUGUAAGUAAAUAAAAGUGUGAUGACCAUCAUUUUUAGAGCAUUGUCCCAUGUGAGGAAAGGAUGAUGGAAGCUAUGAUUCCCUCACAAGUUGGGAUGAGUCUCCGAAAUUUGCAAAAAUAAAAGAGGCCAAAGAAGCCCACAAAAAAAUGAGAGAAAAGAGAGAAGGGGCAAUGUUACUAUCCUUUUUCCACACUUGUUCUUCAAAGUAGUACCAUGAUCUUCAUGAUAGAAAGUCUCCUAUAUUAUCAUUUUCAUAUACUAGUGGUAAUUUUUCAUUAUAGAACUUGGCUUGUAUAUUCCAAUGAUGGGCUUCCUCAAAUUGCCCUAGGUCUUCGUGAGCAAGCAAGUUGGAUGCCCACCCACUUAGUUUUCUUUUUGAGCUUUCAUAAACUUAUAGCUCUCGUGCAUCCGUUGCAUGGCAAUCCCUACUCACUCACAUUGAUAUCUAUUGAUGGGCAUCUCCAUAGCCCGUUGAUACACCUAGUUGAUGUGAGUCUAUCUUCUUCUUUUUUGUCUUCUCCACAACCACCAUAUUCUAUUCCACCUAUAGUGCUAUAUCCAUGGCUCACGCUCAUGUAUUGCGUGAAAGUUGAAAAGGUUUGAGAACAUAAAAAGUAUGAAACAAUUGCUUGGCUUGUCAUCGGGGUUGUGCAUGAUUUGAAUAUUUUGUGUGAUGAAGAUGGAGCAUAGCCAGACUAUAUGAUUUUGUAGGGAUAGCUUUCUUUGGCCAUGUUAUUUUGAGAAGACAUAAUUGCCUUAUUAGUAUGCUUGAAGUAUUAUUGUUUUUAUGUCAAUAUUAAACUUUUGUUUUGAAUCUUAUGGAUCUACACUUUCACGCCACAAUAAAGUAAAUUACAUGGAUAAAUAUGUUAGGUAGCAUUCCACAUCAAAAAAUUCUGUUUUUAUCAUUUACCUACUCGAGGACGAGCAGGAAUUAAGCUUGGGGAUGCUUGAUACGUCUCCAACGUAUCUAUAAAUUUUGAUUGUUCCAUGCUAUUAUAUUACCUGUUUUGGAUGUUUUAUAUGCAUUAAUAUGCUAUUUUAUAUUGUUUUGGGACUAACUUAUUAACCUAGAGCCUAGUGCCAGUUUCCAUUUUUCCUUGUUUUUGAGCUUCGCAGAAAAGGAAUACCAAAUGGAGUCCAAACGGAAUAAAACUUCACGAUGAUUUUUCUUGGACCAGAAGACACCCAGGAGACUUGGAGUUUAAGUCAGACGAGCCACGAGGCGGCGACAAGGGUGGAGGGUGCGCCCCCUACCUUGUGGGCCCCUCGUGACCUUCCUGACCUAGCCCUUCCUCCUAUAUAUUCACAUAUCCCAAACCACCGGAAACAUCCACGAAAACACUUUUCCACCGCUGCAACCUUCUGUUCCCGUGAGAUCCCAUCUUGGGGCCUUUUUCGGCAUCAUGCCGGAGGGGGAUUCGAUCACGGAGGGCAUCUACAUCAACUCUAUUGCCCUUCCGAUGAAGCGUGAGUAGUUUACCAUAGACCUACGGGUCCAUAGCUAGUAGCUAGAUGGCUUCUUCUCUCUCUUUGAUUCUCAAUACCAUGUUCUCCUCGAUGUUCUUGGAGAUCUAUUCGAUGUAAUCUUCUUUUGUGGUGUGUUUAUCGAGAUCCGAUGAAUUGUGGAUUUAUGAUCAGCUUAUCUAUGAAUAUUAUUUGAAUCUUCUCUGAAUUCUUAUAUGCAUGAUUUGGUAUCUUUGUAUUUCUCUUCGAAUUAUCGGUUUGGUUUGCCCAACUAGAUUGGUUUUUCUUGCAAUGGGAGAGGUGCUUAGCUUUGGGUUCAAUCUUGCGUGAUUUCACCCAGUGACAAAGUAGGGGUAGCGAGACACGUAUUGAAUUGUUGCCAUCGAGGAUAAAAAGGUGGAGUUUAUAUCAUAUUGCAUGAGUUUAUUCCUCUACAUCAUGUCAUCUUACUUAAGGCGUCACUCCGUUCUUUAUGAACUUAAUACUCUAGAUGCAUGCUGGAUAGCGGUCGAUGUGUGGAGUAAUAGUAGUAGAUGCGGGCAGGAGUCGGUCUACUUGACACGGACGUGAUGCCUAUUAAUCAUUGCCUUGGAUAUCGUCAUAACUUUGCGCUUUUCUAUCAAUUGCUCGACAGUAAUUUGUUCACCCACCGUAUUAUUUUCCUUCUUGAGAGAAGCCUCUAGUGAAACCUAUGGCUCCCGGGUCUAUUUUCCAUCAUAUUAGUUUUUGAUACGUCCAUUUUGCAUCAUGCUUUUAUAUCGAUAUUUAUUUCAUUAUGGACUGUUAUUACACAUUAUGUCACAAUACUUAUGCCUAUUCUCUUAUUUUACAAGGUUUACAUAAGGAGGGAGAAUGCCGGCAGCUGGAAUUCUGGGCUGGAAAAGGAGCAAAUAUUAGAGACCUAUUCUGCCCAACUCCAAAAGUCCUGAAACUCCACGAAAGUUAUUUUUGGAAAUAAUAAAAAAUAUUGAGCGGAAGAAGUACGUCAGAGGGGGCCCCACCUGGCCACAAGGGUGGGGGGCGUGCCCCCUGCCUCGUGGGCCCCCUGUUGGCUCUCCAGUGGCCAUCUUCUGCUAUAUGAAGUCUUUCGUUGAGGAAAAAAUCGAAAGCAACCUUUCGGGACGAGACUCCGCCGCCACGAGGCGGAACCUUGGCGGAACCAAUCUAGGGCUUCGGCAGAGCUGUUCUGCCGGGGACACUUCCCUCCGGGAGGAGGAAAUCAUCGCCAUCGUCAUCACCAACGCUCCUCUCAUCGGGAGAUGGCAAUCUCCAUCAACAUCUUCACCAGCACCAUCUCCUCUCAAAUCCCUAGUUCAUCUCUUGUAUCCAAUUCUUGUCUCCAAGUCCGGGAUUGGUACUAGUAGGUUGCUAGUAGUGUUGAUUACUCCUUGUACUUGAUGCUAGUUGGUUUAUUUGGUGGAAGAUCAUAUGUUCAGAUCCUUUAUGCAUAUUAAUACCCCUCUGAUUAUGAACAUGAAUAUGCUUUGUGAGUAGUUACGUUUGUUCCUGAGGACAUGGGAGAAGUCUUGCUAUUAGUAGUCAUGUGAAUUUGGUAUUCGUUCGAUAUUUUGAUGAGAUGUAUGUUGUCUAGCCUCUAGUGGUGUUAUGUGAACGUCGACUACAUAACACUUCACCAUUAUUUGGGCCUAGAGGAAGGCAUUGGGAAGUAAUAAGUAGAUGAUGGGUUGCUAGAGUGACAGAAGCUUAAACCCUAGUUUAUGCAUUGCUUCUUAAGGGGCUGAUUUGGAUCCAUAUGUUUCAUGCUAUGGUUAGGUUUACCUUAAUACUUUUGUUGUAGUUACGGAUGCUUGCAAUAGAGGUUAAUCAUAAGUGGGAUGCUUGUUCAAGUAAGAACAUCACCCAAGCACCGGUCCACCCACAUAUCAAAUUAUCAAAGUACCGAACGCGAAUCAUAUGAACGUGAUGAAAACUAGCUUGACGAUAAUUCCAAUGUGUCCUCGGGAGCGCUUUUAUCCAUAUAAGAGUUUGUCCAGGCUUAUCCUUUGCUACAAAAAGGAUUGGGCCACCUUGCUGCACUUUAUUUACUUUUGUUACUUGUUGCUCGUUACAAAUUAUCCUAUCACAAAACUAUCUGUUACCACUUAUUUCAGUACUUGCAGAGAAUACCUUGCUGAAAACCGCUUAUCAUUUCCUUCUGCUCCUCGUUGGCUUCGACACUCUUACUUAUCGAAAGGACUACGAUAUAUCCCCUAUACUUGUGGGUCAUCAGUUUUCGAUCUACUAUUUUGCAAUCUUUUAUUUUCAGAUCUAUAUACCAAAAAUCCCAAAAAUAUUUUAUCUUUUGUUUAGUUUUAUUUAUCUAUCUCUAUCAGAUCUCACUUUUGCAAGUAACCUGAAGGGGUUGACAACCCAUUUAUCGCGUUGGGUGCAAGUGUUUGAUUGUUUGUGCAGGUAUUGGUGAUUUGCGCGUUCUUCUCCUACUGGAGUGAUACCUUGGUUCUUAACCGAGGGAAAUACUUAUUUCUACUUUGCUGCAUCACCCUUUCCUCUUCAAGGGAAAAACCAACGCAAGCUCAAGAAGUAGCAACGAGCAGGAAUUAAGCUUGGGGAUGCUGAUACGUCUCCAAUGUAUCUAUAAUUUAUGAAGUAUUCAUGCCAUGUUUGCAACAAUUUUAUAUGGUUUUGGUACGAUUUUAUUAGAACUAACCCGGACUGACGCUGUUUUCAGUAGAACUACCGUGGUGUCGUUUUUUGUGCAGAAAUAAAAGUUCUCGGAAUGGGCUGAAAAUUUACGGUGAUUUUUUAUGGAACUAAAGAGACCGCGAAGCACAAGAGUUGGGCGAGAAGAGUCCCGAGGCAACCACAAGGGUGGAGGGUGCGCCCCCUGUCUUGCCGCUGCCUCGUGGACCCCCUUGGCGUGAGACCGACGCCAAAAAUUCCUAUAAAUACCAAAACCCCCCGAAAAGAAACCUAGAUCGGGAGUUCCACCGUUGCAAGCCUCUGUAGCCACGAAAACCAAUCGGGAGCCCGUUCCGGCACCCUGUCGGAAGGGGAAACCAUCACCGGAGGCCAUCUUCAUCAUCCCAGCGGUCUCCAUGACGAGGAGAGAGUAGUUUACCCUCGGGGCUGAGGGUACGUACCAGUAGCUAUGUGUUUGAUCUCUCUCUCUCGUGUUCUUGAUAUGGCACGAUCUUGAUGUACCACGAGCUUUGUUACUAUAGUUGAAUCAUAUGGUGUUUCUCCCCCUCUACCUUCUUGUGAUGAAUUGAAUUUUACCUUUGAGGUUUCACUAUUAUCGGAUUGAAUACUAUUAUGGAUUUGAGAACACUUGAUGUAUGUAUUGCGUGGGAUACCCGUGGUGACAAUGGGGUGUUCUAUUGAUUCACUUGAUGUAUGUUUUGACACCCAACUCGCGGAUUCCCGAGGUGACAUUGGGGUAAUCUAUGCAUAGGGGUUGAUGCAUGUUUUCAUCCUUCUUUCUCUGGUAGAGAUCUUGGGGCACUCUUUGAGGUUCUUUGUGUUGGAUUGAAUAUUAUGAAUCUGAAGUUGUUUGAUGCAUAUCGUAUAAUUGACCCACGGAUACUUGUGGUGACAUUGGAGUAUCUAGGUGACAUUAGGGUUGAUUGAUAUGUAUCAUACGGUGUUAUUUUACUACGAACUCUAGGGCUGUUUGUGACACUUAUAGGAAUAGCUCAAUGGAUUGAUCGGGAAGAAUAACUUUGAGGUGGUUUAGUACCCUACAAGCAAUUAUGUUCUCCGCGAUAGGAACAUUGGAGUGACUUUUGUCGCAUGUUGAGGGACUGCCAUAUGAUCUAACUAUGUUAUCAUUGUUGUGAGAACUUGCACUAGUGAAAGUAUGAACCCUAGGCCUUGUUUUCAAGCAUUGCAAUACAGUUUUUGCUCACUUUUAUCACUAGUUACCUUGCUGUUUUUAUAUUUUCAUAUUACAAAAACCUAUAUCUACCAUCCAUAUUACACUUGUAUCACCAUCUCUUCACCGAACUAGUGCACCUAUACAAUUUACCAUUGUAUUGGAUGUGUUGGGGACACAAGAGACUCUUUGUUAUUUGGUUGCAGGGUUGUUUGAGAGAGACCAUCUUCAUCCUACGCCUCCCACGGAUUGAUAAACCUUAGGUCAUCCACUUGAGGGAAAUUUGCUACUGUCCUACAAAACUCUGCGCUUGGAGGCCCAACACGAGUCUACAAGAAGAAGGUUGCGUAGUAGACAUCAGAGCACCGUCGGGGGAACCAUCAUGACGGUGAUCUACAUCAACAACUUUACUGCCGUCAUCACCAUCACCUUCCCCAGUCUAAACUCAGUGGUCCACUCUCCCACAACCCGUUGUAUCCCCUACUUGAAUAUGGUGCUUUAUGCUAUAUAUUAUUAUCCAAUGAUGUGUAUCCAUCCUAUGAUGUUUGAGUAGAUUCUUUUUUAUGAUCUUGAUUGGUUUGAGUUGCAUGUUUUAUUUUGGUGAUGUCCUAUGGCGCCAUCUAUGUCGCACACACAUGGGGGAUUCCCGUUGUAGCCUGUUGCAAUAUGUUCAUGAUCUACUUACUGAUGAGUACGUGGGUGACAAAAACACAAACUCGGGUAAGUGGGUUGUUGCGUAUGGGAUUAAAGAGGACUUUACACUUAAGUCUAUAGUUGGGUUUACCUUAAUGAUCUCUAGUAGUUGCGGAUGUUGCUAGAUUUUCAAUCAUAAGUUCAUGUGAUCCAACUACCGAAAGUGUGUUAGAUUAUGCCGCUCCCUCAUAUAAAAUUGCAAUAGUGAUUAUCGAUCUUAUUAUCAAUUGCCUAUGACAACUUAGCAAAUCCUACCAUCACUUUUCCACACUAGCUAUACUAGCUUAAUUGUUCUUUUAUUAAAACAACACCUAACUUUUAUUUUCACAUUCUUUAUUAUCUUGCAAACUUAUCCCAUUACACAUACAAAGUAGUUAAUUAUUUGUUUCUAGGUAAAGCAAACGUUGAUGCGCGUAGAGUUGUAUCGGUGGUUGAUAGAACUUGAAGAGAAUAUAAAUCCUACCUUUAGCUCCUCGUUGGGUUCGACACUCUUACUUAUCGGAAAAUGCUACAAACGAUCCCAUAUACUUGUGUUUUUAUCACCCACCAUCGUAUUCCGCAUCAACCCGAGUCCCUCGCCGUCCCUACAGACCUCUAGAACGCCAAGUUCGGCAACUCCCAAGCACAGCGUCGCCGCCCUCGUGUUUUCCGGCGAGUAAACUCCAGUGAGCUCUGAAACCCUAGCCCUAUGAUCAAAUCUUGGUUGUCCAUUUUAGAUCAAUGGUGCACACACACUCACUUAAACCCGAAACAGUAUCGCCCAACUAGAAGCCUCCAUGUGUACAACCUUAUCCGAAACAUUAUCGAGAACAUUUUCUGUUUAAUUGAACUAAUUGGCAGUUUUGCAAAAAAAAACCCUGGAACUUCAAACAUUCACAACAUUUUAUUUGCAGAUCAAAAUUGAGUGGAACUUUCUGCAAAAUGACCCUUCGGAAAUGCACUUUUACCUAACUAAUAAAUUUUUGAAUUUUAAUAUUUUAAAAUUCAAAUUUAAACAUAAUGAUUUAGAAAUUAAGUGGGGCAUAGUUUGCAAUUUAGAAUUCCAAAUAAAUUGAUUCUUUUUGCAGAAUGAACCUAGUGAAAUAUAGUUUCAACCAAGAUCAGUUUAGUUCAAAUAUGAAUAAUUAAAAAUUGAUUUUAGAUAGAAUUCAGUAGGAGCUAGAAUUCAAAUGAAAUUUAAACCUAUUUAGGUUAACUUAGAAAUAGAAGACCUAAAUAGAAUAAACAAUUUGCAAGAUGUUUUAGAAAAUCAAAAUAAACUUUAUUAAAUAUUUUUGGAUUAUUAUUUGACUUUAGAAAAAAUCAAAUAAUAUUUUAAUUAAAUUCAAACUAGAUCGGUUAUAAACUUGAAACCCAAGGUUUAAUUUGAACAAACUUUUUAUAUUUGACUUAGUAAAUUAAUUGAACCCAGUGAAUAUUUUGGAGUGAUAAUUGACUUUAGGAAGUUAAAUUUAAAUUGAAUUUAGCUCAAACUUAAAUAAAGUUUGAAAACAAUUUACACAUAGUAGAUCAUCUUGGACUUAUAGUUGACUUUAGUUCAAACUUGAUAAAAGUAUAAAUAAAGUUUAGAAUCAGUUUGAAUUAUUACCUGACUUUAGGGAUUGAAAUCUUUAAUGCAAAUCUAAACUCAAUUUGAGUUCAAAUAAGAUGAACCCCAACUCAAAUCCAAAUUGAAUUGGAAGCCAGACCGAGUUAUUAUUUUCAAACACUUAGUGCAUUCAAACUCAUGAAAGGUCAAAAAGUUUGAAUUUCAAACUUGAACAUGAAUUUGGCUAUGCAAGAUUCAUAGACCAUGACUCAAGUUGCAAGAUUCCUUUUGCAGAAUCUGACAACCACAACUGGACAUCACAUACUCCUUAUGUGAUGAACCCAUAUUUGAAAACUUGCAUGUGAACCCUGACGUCACAUGUAUUCCAAUUAACAACCACUAUGUUGUUUAGCAAACUCUUAUGAGUUAACUCUGACACGUGAUCUAAUAGCACAAUGACACUGACACCAUGCACAACACUUGUUGUAUAUUUGAUUGCAUUGUAUAUUGGUUGUUUAUGAUUGCUCUUUACUUACUCUAGAUUAUACGGGCAACAAAGAGUAACUUGAUCAAGAUCGUGAGAGUGAAGAAUCAUCAAUACCAGGCAAGUGAAACCUUUGAUCAUAACCUAUGUUUUUCAUGCACUGUAGUUGUUUUCAACUAGGAAUCCCUAUAUGAGUUUACUUUGUGCUUGACAGAACCCAGUAGAAGAAAUGCGGGUCCAUUUCACCAUGACCUUGUAACCAACAAGUAAUUGCUUAGCUGCUAUAUUGUGGAUUGGGAUCAACAUUAAAAAGGUUACUAUAUGGUUGACUAGUUAACUACUGCUUAAUUAAUGAAUCGAUCUGGGUGGACUGGAUUUGAUUGGGACAUCGGAGUGUACUCUUUGGUGGGGAAUGCCACCCAAGUAUCAAUGGGACCGUAUGAGUUCAAAGUUGAGUAGAUUCCAUGUGUAACCGUGAGACAUUAUGGGCUCUGUCUGGACCAUAAUAGCAAUCCUCCAAGGCUGAGUAGCAAUGCAUGGUCACCCCUGAAUUGGCCCGGGUGGAUGCAGAUCAGGAGGAAACAACAGGGGGAAGAAGAGUCUCAGUGCCAUCCGGUGGCAGCGAGAGGAACUAACCCCAGUGAGAGGGGAGUGCUUUUUCUCAUGACCAGAAUGUUGAAAUCACCCCUUUUGACUAGGAGAUAUCCAAAAGAAAGUCGUGUCGGAUGUGGCAUCGCCACUUCGGCCUAAUGAGAUGCCCUACCUAGCAGAACAAUUUCAAAUGUUAACCAAGGUGAAAAAACAAAAAAAAAAAUACUCAAUGGGGUAACAUUGAAGAAUUUUUAAAUGGGUUGGAACUUCAUCGGGGUAAAGAAGGCGAAAUUCACUCCUAUUAUAAUGGAAUUAUUUAUGAUCCGGGAAAUCUAAUGGGACACAAUGAAGGCUUGCAUGCCAUGAUCUAGUUGUUUGACACUAAAAAGAGAGGAAUGAACUUCGUCGAGGCAGGAAUGACCUUUGGUGGCACCCUCCUAGCAAAGCAUGUGUCAACAAUUUGUCCAGGGAAAACAACAUAACAGUAAAUAUGGAUGCAGCAGUUUGAAUUUUCUUAACUCAAGAGCCAUCUUGUUAAUAACUAGGAUAAAAGAAGUAGUAGAUCUGUUCAAAUUAAAAAGAAAAACACGACAAAACGCCGGCCUAAGUUUCAGUUUGGAUAUACAGUCGUCUUCCCGGACCCAACGUUUAUAUAUUGGCACAUUGUGUGUUGAAUUGAAGCUGAGUGUAGCGUCCUGUCCAAUGGCAUCGUUUGGUUACAGACCUGGUGAUCAAUACGAUGCUCCUAGUUUAUGGGAGGAAAAUCAAAUCAUACUAGUACUAUGUGGAGUGUUGGUACUUGUCAACAACAUCUAUUUAUAUAUACAAAAGAAAGUUUCAAGUAGUAUGAAAAGUUGAUGUUGAGCCGGCCCAUAAUUUUAAUUAAAUCAACGAAAGCAAAAGCCGUAUCGUGCUGACGACGGCAUCGGUGGAGUGUUGUGGACCACGCGUGUCGUUCUCGUACAAUUUGAUGUAUUAUAUCCGAUCCGUAUUCCGUCCGAUCCAUCUUAAUUGUUGCUUAUUUAGUACAAUAAUAUGUUAAAUAUAGUGGAUCUACAUUAUUCUUCAUCUGCGGCGGUUGCUGUUCUGGUGCGCUGGUCUUACGAGACCUUAGCACGACGAUUUCCCGGCUGUCUACUACAACAAGUUGUGCACGACUCCGGCGAUGGAGGGGUGAUGACGGCGGCGCGCCUUCGGCUCGCUUCAGUGCUGGUAGUCGUCGCUAGGUGGUCUACGGAUAUUCGUUGUACUGCCAUGAUUGAAGAUGAAUAGAUCGGAAUUUUUCUCGCAAAAAAAAAUAGUGGUUCCUUCUCUUUGUUGCGUUUUCUCUGUGACCUGAUCUUCACAUGGCCGGUGCUACUCAUAAACAAGCAUAGAUAAUUGGACUGCACGGCACGGCUGGGCCAUAAAAUAUCCACCUAAAAAAUGGCGAUUACGGCACACAUGAUUUGUCACAACCUCAUGGCGACGGCGAUAUCGUGCGGAGAAAGGUCAAGGAAACGGGGAGGGGGUGCCGUGCGCGCGUGCGCAAUCGUCGCUGCCCGUCGCUGUUUCUUUUCCGGAACAAGUUGGGGCGGAUCCCGCGCCCAUUAUCCACUUGUGGCCGAUUGUGGAGGGGGUUCAAAGUGGCAGCCGGCUGGUUGCGGAAGGUCAAGCGUGACGGAUGGAUGGAUGCGACCGGGGGACGUGAUGUUCAUCCUUUUCUCCCUCCCUCCGGCCCGGGUGCGUGCGCGUGACCGGCCGGCCCGGACGGCGACGGGGGGCGCAGGGCGGACCAUGCGAGGCGGAGCGGGGACCGCCGGCGAUGGGGCCCGGAGGAGGUGACCCGGCGGCCAGUCGGGGCUCGACACGCGUCUGGCGAGCGGCAGUCAGUGCGUCCUCGUUCUUGGCGCCACGGGUUUGUUGGUUUGUUCCUACGGGCCAGUGGGAUGCGGCUGCAUCGAAUUGGGUUUGUACAUGACGAUGCAGGGCAUACGAGAGCAAAAGGAUUGGGAGUUGGAUCACACGGACAAUUUAUUGCAGGCCUUGUCUACUGGGAUCUCUGAUCAUGCACCACUUCAUUUAACUACCAAUGCCCCUUUCUUUCAUAAGAAGAGGUUUAGAAUUGAGAUGUUUUGGCUAAAGCUGGAGGGCUUUGAGGAUGUCGUGCGUGAGGCCUUGAGAUGCGACGAGCGGAUUACAGAUCCUUUUCAGAGGUUAAAUGCUAUGUUGCGCAACACCGCAGCUGCUCUUCAAGCAUGGGGCCAGCGCAAGACCAGCAACAUUAAAUUGCAGAUGGCAGUGGCCAAUUGGAUUGUGUUCAGGUUUGACAAAGCUAUGGAAGAUAGACAGCUCACGGAGCUCGAGCGCUGGCUCAGGAACACCCUAAAGCUAGCUCUGCUUGCGUUGGCUUCGCUGCAACAUACUAUCGACAGGCAGCGGUCGAGAUUCAGAUGGCUAAAAGAAGGGGAUGCUAACACCAAGUUCUUCCAUGCCUUCGCUAAUGGGAGGAGGGUGAAGAACUUUAUACCGCUGAUCAAGCACGGAGACGAGGUGAUCACGAACCCGGAUCGUAUGGAGCAAGUCUUUUCUGAGACUUACCAGGCAAUCAUCGGAACGGCGCACGCAAGGCAAUUCACUCUUGACCUAAACUAUCUUGGCAUGGAACCAUUGAACCUCGAAGAUCUUGAGGCUAUCUUUACUGAAGAAGAGGUUUGGGCAGUUAUCAAAGAGCUCCACCCGGACAGAGCCCCCGGACCGGAUGGGUUUAUUGGCGCUUUCUACCAAAAAGCUUGGCCAAUCAUUAAGCAUGAUAUCAUGGCAGGCUUGCUCAAGAUCUAUGUGGGAGACGGUAGAGGCUUUUCCAAGCUGAAUCGUGCCUUGAUGGUUCUACUGCCGAAGAAGCCGGAUGCAGAAAGAGUGGGCGACUAUCGUCCUAUUAGUCUGCCACAUAGCAUCGCCAAAAUCUUCGCGAAGCUACAGGCAACUAGAGAGCGCGCGAACAUGAAGGACUUGGUCACCAUCAACCAGUCGGCUUUCAUCAAAGGGAGAAACCUACAUGAUAAUUUUCUCUUGGUUUGCCAAGUGGCUCGGAAGAUUGUUGCGAGGAGAAGCAAAGUGUCUUCCUAAAACUUGACAUCUCGAGAGCGUUCGACUCCCUCUCCUGGCCUUUUCUCUUUGAGGUUCUGAAAGCAAAAGGAUUCGGCAAUAAGUGGAUCAAGUGGGUCUCGAUCUUGCUUCAAUCAGCAACGACUAAGAUCCUGGUGAAUGGUGUGCCUGGGAGAAGCAUUGCGCAUGCCUGUGGUCUUCGUCAAGGUGAUUCAGUCUCGCCACUUUUAUUCGUGAUUGCCAUGGAUGCUCUGACCACGAUCAUCGGCAAGGCGCUGGAGCAGAGAGUGUUAUCCGCUUACAGAGGAAUCUCAGCUUGGCAAAGGGUGUCCAUUUAUGCUGACGAUGUUGCACUGUUCGUUCAUCCCACAAUCACCGACCUCAGCUUCACUAAGCACGCAUUGUAUAUAUUCGGAGAAGCUUCAGGUCUUAAGGUCAACUACUUGAAAUCCACUGCCACUCUCAUUCAUGGCGAUCAAGAGGACAAAGAGCGAGUUGUUGAGCUUCUGCAAUGCAAGCUUGCGGAGUUCCCGUGUCGAUAUCUGGGCCUGCAGUUAGCUAUCAAGCAACUAACAAAGCAAUAUUGGCAGCCUCUACUUGACAUGGUGAGGAAGUGUAUGCCUGCAUGGCAUAGAGGGCUCGUCCAGAGAGCGGGCAGACUGGUGCUUGCAAAAUCCGUGAUCUCUGCUCGCCCAAUUCACCAGCUCCUGGUGCUGCAGCCCCCCGCAUGGGUUCUUGAAGAUAUCAACAGUUGGAUGCGGUCUUUUUUCUGGGCUGGGGAAGAUAAGGUCAAUGGUGGGCAGUGCUUGGUCGCAUGGGAUAGAAUCUGCCGUCCGGUGCAGUACGGAGGCCUUGGAAUCAAGAAUCUGAAAGCUCAGGCACUGGCCUUGCGCGUGAGGUGGGAAUGGCUGAGACGCACCAAGCCAGAACGGCCUUGGCAAGGGCUAGGAAUGCUGGUCGAUCAGGAGGCGAGAGCCGUCUUCGACUGUUUGGUGCACAUCGAGGUUGGUCGAGGAGACAAAGUGUUGUUCUGGAAGGAUCGACGGAUUCAUGGCCACUCUGUGCAAGACAUCGCGCCUCUCAUUCUUGAGCUCGUUGAAACACGCCGCAUCAACACUAGGACUGUGCAGUGGGCACUGGAAGAUGAGCAAUGGUCAAUGGACGCCCCCUUCAUCUCCUCUCACAUGGCGCUCCUUCAACUCAUGCACUUGAGACAUGCCAUCGCCUCGGUGCAUAGGGAUGAUCAGUUGCCUGACAACUUCUUAUGGCCAUGCGCGACAUCCAUGUCAUAUUCUGCCAAAUCUACCUACAAUCGCCUUUGUGAGGGCCUGCCGGUUUGCCCCUACGCCGCAACCAUCUGGAGAAGCCUCGCCCCUCUCAAAUGGAAGAUCUUUGCUUGGCUUGCCUCACAACAUCGUCUGUGGACGGCGGAUCGACGCGCUAGACAUGGAUUGCAAGAUCACACCUCGGCCUGUUACACGUGUCUGCAGGAUGAAGACACUGUGGACCACAUCUUGGUGCAAUGUGGUUAUGCGCGCGGUACUUGGAUGGGCUGUUUUGACAAGCUGCAACUACAGAUUACUUGCCCCACGAGCACGGGCUCCUUUCUAGAAUGGUGGAUGCAACAACGAUCGGGAUUCGCGAAGGAAGACAAACAUGGUUUCAACACCCUGGUCAUCUGCACGGCAUGGUCACUUUGGAAGCAAAGGAAUGCCAGGGUGUUCAACAGAACUGAGCAACAGGUAGACACGCAAGAGCUCGUGGUGAGGAUCCUCGAUGAGAUGAAAGAUUGGAAGUUGGCGGCUCGGGGAGGAGGUAGUUUGCAACGCUUUGUGAGAGAGUAGCCUCGUGUUGUAUUGUAGGAGCGGUGGUGGGUGUUUGUCUUCGAGUGUCCCACACUCGCUAGACCUCUUGUAAAUUGUCUUGCUCUCUUCUAUAAAAUUAAGGCACGCGCUUUGCGUGCUCUCAAAAAAGAGCAAAAGGAUGGACUAAUUUCGAACCUUAGGCCAACUCCAAGGUGCGACCCCAAAUGGUUCGGCCGCGUCCGUUUGAGCGUAAACGGACAGAAUAGGCCGUCUAACGCGCAGCAGCAACGUCGUCUGUUUUUCGUUCGCUUUCGACCCAUUCCCGGCCCAAAGUUGGGACGUGUUUGCGGCCGAACGGACAGUGCACGGACGCGCGGGACGCGCACCCUUGUCCUCCUCUGGCCCGCCUGUUGGGGAAACGGCCGCCCACUCUUUCCCUCCACUUUGCCCAAAACUCUCCCGCGCCCUCUUCCGCCUCUCCCUCUCCACCAUGGACGGCGACCCGAUGAAUCCCGGAGACCCGUCCGCGACUGUGCGUCCCACGUCGAAGAAGGGUACCAAGAAGUCGCGGUCGGAGCUCACGGCGUUGGAGGUCGCCAAGCUCGACGCCAAAUCGGCCAAGAGGAGGAACCGGCGGGCGAAGGACAAGGAGAAGAAGGCUGUUGUGAGCUAUGUCGCUGAGGCGAUGCAGCACCAGGCGGAUGUUGACGGCAAGGAGUCCAUCGUUGCCAAGGCGCACACCCUCCUCGUGUUAGUGUUGUGCCAACCCCCGCCGGCGAUCCUCUCGAUCACUCCGCAGCCAGCACAGGCUCGUCGGCCGCUCGUCCUCCGCAGCACCAUUCCCCAAGCUUGUCCGUCACGCCCGAGACGCAUCGUGCACCACCCCUCCACGACCAUGGGCACACACGGUUCUUCACCUCGCCGAACUACAGUGUGGUCGCUCCAGCCACUCCCGCGGGCGUCAUUGACCUCAACGUCACGCCGGGGUACAACUGUGCUAGCCAGCCGCCCGACGGGACGCAAAGGAAGCAGCCCCGGUCGUUCACUUCAGCAAACAUGGCCGACGUGCGCAAGCUGUUCAACGAAAUGCCAGUGCCAACGCCCACGGCCGAUGACCCUGAGUACUCGGCGUUCAUGGAGAACGUCAUCUUCGAGGGCCGUGGUGAGGCCUUCCACGUCGACAGCCAGGCCCAAGCUUUUGAUCCCGACGCCACCCAAAGCCAGGAUGGCCGCGACCACUAUGAAGACACUUAAUUUGCCGGCCAUGAUGAAGAUGAGGACGACCAUGGCAAGUCUUGGCAUGAAGAUGAUGACUUGUAUUGUGAAGAUGAGAAAGAAGAGGUCGACAUUUCGGCUGAGCCAUUGGUGUUUAUCGAUGAGCUCACCCAAAGGGCCGAGGCACAAAAGAGGAGGCAAAGCAUUCGCACGGGAUCGUACACCCAAGAUGAGUACACUUUGAUUUGCGAGAGUUGGAUGGAGAUAGGCCAAGAUCCCAUGAAAGGUGCCGAGAAAAAAAGAUCUGUCUUUUGGACAAGAGUUCACAAGAACUUUCAUGAGCGAAGGAAGUUUGCCCCCUACCAAUUUACGAGCACACACGGCAUCAACGCAAUCCAAAAGAGAUGUGGGUUCAUCUAACAAGAGUGCAACAAGUAUUUGUGUCGCGCUUGAGAGCGUUCAAGCUCGUCCCGUGAGCGGCCUAGGCCUUGGUGAUUUGGUAUGCCAUUUAUGUCCAUUCAUGUCGGCAUGCCAUUUAUGGUUGAUGCAUUUUGUGUCGUUUCAUGUUACAUUUGUGGGCGCAUCUUUGAUUGUGUAGGCAUUCCAAUCUUUGGAGGCCUUCAAGGCCCGACACAAGAACAAGCCGUUUACUCUCACGCAUUGUUGGGUGCUCAUCAAAGAUUGCCCCAAGUUCAAAGACCAAUGUGUCGCUCGUAAGAAGAAAGGAGGGAAGGCGGCCGUGGCUGAUGAGGGAGACUUGCUCAAGAGGCCGAGGGGCAAGACAAGCUCGAAGGCCAAUGAGAAGCGCAGUGCGUCUUCUAUAGCCUUGCAAGGAACUUUGGAGAACAUGAUGAGCCAAAAGGAAGUGCGGGAGGAGAGGAGGAGCAAAGGGAAGGAGGAGCAAAUGAAGAUAUACCUAGAUUUUCAAAUGAAUAAGCUUGACAUGGAGGAGGCCGUCAAGAGGAGGAGGCUUGACAUCGAGGAGGCCGCUCAACUCAAGAAGCUCGAGAUCGAGGCCACCAAUGCUGAGACCAAAUCCAAAGAGAUGGCAUUCGCGUUCAUGAGCGUCGACAAGAACAACAUUUCACCUGAGAGGAAGGCUUGGUUCGCGAACCGGCAGCAAGAGAUGUUCGCUCGCGACGACCUGAACUAGGUGAGACCACGGCCAUGAUGGCUGUCCAUUUUGAAGGCCGGCUGCUCGCUUUGUUGUCGGCGCGAAGAAACUUGUCAUUGUCAAGGCUGGCUCGUGUGCCGGCCGCUGGCUUUGUUGCCGGCCCCAAAAACUUGUCCAUUUUGAAGGCUGGCUCGUGCACCGGCCGCUGGCUUUGUUGCUAGCGUGAAACUUGGGUGACCAUUCUGAGGCGCUGGCUUUGUUGCCGGCCGGCAUGAACUGACGAGAACGCGGCCACUACCGUGAACUAUGGCCAUUUAGCUGCACCCUUUGUUCUUUUUUAUAUGUUGCAUGAACAGCGGACGAAAUGCGGCCGAAAUGCAGCCGCGCGUUGCGCGCAUGACCGACGCAUCCACAAAUCCGGGCGGGCACGACCCCAUUGCCACCCCAAGCGGACGACAAGUGGACGAAGCGGACGUCCGUUUGGGGUCGUGCGUUGGAGUUGGCCUUAAACAUUAGUGGACGCGUUCGGUCAGUGUCCGAAUGUGACCGCUUUGACCAUCUUUUUUCUUUUACUGGAAAACGACUGCAAUCCCUAGUUGUGCCCCGUCCCGACAAUGUGUGCGCCAGAAGGCCGGGAUGGGAAGGGAGGACAUGUGAGGGAAAGUAUCUGGUGCACCGGUGCUUGUGGUGCUACCGGUGCACCAGACGUCGUAGCGUGUUAAAAAAUGUUUCAAAAAAUCUGAAAAAAUGUAGCACAUUGACACAACAUUGGUCGAUGUUGUCGCAAAAUUUCAAAUCAAAAUUGAAAACACUGGAUGAGAUACAAAAUGACAAUUUUAGCAUCAAUCUGAUAAUGUGCCAAAUUUAAAACUCAACUUCUAUUAUGUACUAUUCAGUGUCGAUUUUGUGAUUUUUGUACCUUGAGAAAUAUUUCAAAUUUUGAUUGAAUUUUUGCGACAAUAUAGACGGAUGUUGUGUGAAUGUGCUAUAUCUUUUUCCAAAAAAAUUCGAACAUUUGUGAGCACGCUACGGGCAUCCGGUGCACCGGUAGCACCAUAAGUACCGGUGCACCAGACACUUUCCCGGACAUGUGAAGGACAUCACAACUUACCUCCACAAGACGAUAGUGAUGGAGAGUGCGGCACUGAGGACACGAUGGAGAGCUCACCAUUGCUAGGGACAUGCUCCUCCUCUAUACCUCAACCCUACCUCCGGAGAGCAUGGAAUCAACACAUUGAUAUUUUCCUAGAGCUGGAGGCGGCACCGGCCAUAGAGAGGGUGAGGCGGCGGCCAUGGAGAGGUGGAUGUGCCAUGGAAAAGGACGGUCACGACAACGCCAUCGCUAGGUCACAGUGAGACCGUAUCGGACUGUUAGAGCUAUAUCUCGCCUAUAGCGAGAGUAGCUUCUGUCUCGCCUGAAGCUCUUUUUUUUUUUUUCUGUUUUGUACAAUACUGGGCCGGCCCGUUUCAUAGCGCUCUCGCUCGCUCAGGCGUGCUUGCUCGCUCGCUGGUAAUUGUGUUCGCUGCUUUUUUCUCUGUUUUUUCUCUUUUCAUGUUUCUUUUCGUUAUUUUGUUUCUUCACAUGUUUCUUUGGUUUUUCCCUUUGUUUUUCACCGGUUCUCUUUGUUUUAUUCCUGUUAUUACUGGUUUUUUCUUUUGUUUAUUUCUCCGUUUUCAUUUGUUCUUUCUUUUCUUUCCUACUUUCUUUAUUUUUUCUUUAUUUCUUUCUUGGUUUUCAUAUGUUCUUUGUUUCUUCCUUGGUUUUAUUGUUUUUAUUCUUUUGUACUAUUUUUAAGUUUUUUUCUGUGUUUUUAUUGGGUUUCUUUGUUUUAUUUGCCGAUUUUCAUUGGUUUCUUUUUUGUUAAACACAUGCCAUCUUUUUUUCAGUACACAUUCUAUAUUUUCAUCUACAUCGGAAACAUAUUUUAUAUACAUGUUUAACAUUUUUGACAAACAUGAUUAAUAUUUUUUAAAAUCUAAAUUUUUAUUGUGUACUUUUCCAUACACAUUGUAAAUUUUUAGUGCAUCUAAUAUAUUUUCUAUAUACACAUUUAACAUAUUUUCAAUACAUGGUUAAAAAAUUUCAAUACACGACGGCCAUUUUUUAGUGGCAAUAAACAUGUUUUGUAUACACCAGGAAACAUUUUUUCUACAUGUUUAAUAUUUUUAAUAGACGUUUACUAAUUUUUACGUACAUGAUGAAUAUUUUUUCAUACACAUUUUAUACUUUUUUUCCCAUAUACUGGUAAAACAUUUUUUCUAUAAAAUUUAACAUUUUUCAUAUGCUUCAUUAAUACUUUUCAAAUAUUUGAUUUAUAUUUUUAAAUACAUUAUCAACUUUUUUCAUACAUAUUGUAUAUUUCUUAUAUGGUCCCUUCCAUCCAUAUAAUUGACACUGCCUUAGUACAACUUUGUGUUAAUGAAUAUUUUCUCCAUAAACAUUUAACAUUUCUUAAAUAUUUUAUGUAAAUUCUUUCCUAUGAUAUAUAUUUAGAAUAUUUGGAAAUUUAUUCAAAAGUAGGAAAAAUAUAAAACAAAAACACAAAAAAUUAAAAAAACUAAGGUAUUGGCCUGUGGCCUUUCGCGUGCUGGGCCAGCCUAUUUACGGAGGCACCUGACACUAGCGCAACGUACGAUAUGGACCGGCCAUAACCGGUUGGACCGCUGCGCUCCACGCCCGAAUUUCGUAUCUCAACGCAGCCGAUAAUAGUAGAGAGCUCCUCACGGAAUCCUAUUUGGCGCUGCAUGCGCUAAAUAGAGGCUGUUCCAUACGCAACGCACACCCCCUCCCCCAUCGAAAUGUGCCGGCCCAUUUAGCACAGUAGCGGUAGUCUGGUUCAUAUCGCAUUCCUUUUCUGGUAGUUUUUUUCUAUCUGCUUUUAGGACAAUUUUUGGUGUUUUUCUUCGUUUUUAAAAUAUUCUUCUUAUUUUUAUUUAUAUAUUUUUUAGUUUUAAUUUACAUGAUUUUCUUAAAUUUGUGAACUUCUCCCAAAUUACUGAACUGUUUUUUUUCAAAUUCCUAAAUAUUUAUCUUAAAUUCGUGCUUUUUACAUUUUUCCAAAUUAGUGAUUUUUUUCUUAAAGUCGUGAUAUUUUUUCAAAAUAAAUUCUUUUUCAAAUUCGUGAACUUUUUUUCAAAUUUGUGAUUUUUUGUCAAAUUAGUGAACCUUUUGCUAAUGCAUGUAGUUUUUUAAAAUCGUGAACUUUUUUCCAAUUUUUGAAUGUUUUUUGAAUUCAUGAUCUUUUUUUUGAAAACCCGUGAACUUUUUCAAACCUGUAUACUUUUUCUCGAAUCCAUGAAUAUAUUCAAUUCCAUGAACUUUUUUCUAAUUUACAAAUUAAAGUACACUAUUGUUUAAAAAUUCCACGUCAUAUGUCUUGGUCAACUAUCACUGUUCGUGGUCACAACUUUUUUUAGACAAACUGCAAAGCUUUAUUACGAUAUCACAAUGUUUAUAGGGACGAAAUCAAGUCCAUUGGGCUGACCUAACCAAACAUGACAACUAGCACCUAGAGAUAAAGCGUGCUUUGCAAGUUUGUGAGCCUCGAAAUUCAAGCUCCUAAAUUCAUGCCUAAUAUUACAUGUAUCAAAGGUAGACUUGUGCUGUAUUAUUUCAUGCACAAUUGCCCCAUAGGUCCCCUUGUUCUUCUGCUGGAUGUCAUCAACGUCCACUUUGCCAUCCGAGACCACAUGAAUCUUCCUUUUGUAGAGAUCAUCAGCUAACGCUAGUGCCUCCCUGAUGGCAAGUGACUCUAGUGUGCCUAGGUAUGAUAUGUGGGAAAAAACAACAGCCGAAGCUCCAAGGAAAGCUCCAUGUUGAUCUCUACAGACUACUCCAGCAGCACCAUGCGAACCUCCUCUUCCAACAGCAGCGUCGACAUUGAUCUUUACUAGUCCAGCUGGUGGCGCAAUCCAGUGGCUCGGUCGGCUUCCUGGUGCACUAGUACCAGGUGCAGAUGAUACUUAUAUGGCUUUGAGCUCUCCGAUGUAUGUUUGUAUGAAACCAUUGAUGGCAAAAGGAGUUUGAAAGAUAUCCUCAUGCAUGGUCUUCCUCCGUGCACCCCAAAGCGCCCAUAAUGUGACAACAAAAGCAAGAAAAUCAUCCUGGUUCAGGGCUUCAUGCAUUGCAAAGAGCCAUCACUUUGCAUUAUCAUCUACACAAGUGCUUAGUUUGUCAAGGAUUGCUUCAUUUGACAGUGCCAGGUGCUCCUGGAGACCGAGCAAUCAAGAAGUGCAUGGCAUGUGUCAACUGCUCUGCAAAGACAACAUGCAUUGGAAGUGGACAUGUUCCGGUAAUUCAGGAGUGCUGUUGUAGGUAUGGAUUGUCUAGAUAGCCUCCACAAAAAGAACUUCAUCUUAGAUGGAACCUUAAUCUGCCACAACUCAGACCAGCCUUGGUUGACCCCGUGGGGGUCAGAAGAGGCCCCUUGUUCAUACAGCCAUGCCUCCCGGCUCAGUUUAGUACGCUGAACCAUCAUGUACGUUGUUCGCAUUGAGAAAUUCCCCCUCCUUUAUUCUGACCAGGCCCAAAAGUCCUCCAUUUGACGGGUACAGAGGGGAAUUUGCAAGAUAGCUGCUGCAUCUGUCGGUAUAAAGACCGACCUGACCAAGUUCACAUUCCAUGAGGAUGAGGUGUGAUCAAUUAAUUCUGAAACCUCGAUCGGUGGUUGUGGGACUAGGGAGGUGAUCGGCCUUUUCAAAUUGGCUCUUGGCAGCCAGUUAUCUUCCCAUAUAUUAGUUGUUUCACCAUCCCCAAUCCUUCGAAUGAUUCCAUGUACCAUGAUGUCUCACCCGUCUAAAAUAGCCCUCCAUAUCUGGGAAGGGUGUGACCCCAAAGUUGCACCGAAUAUGUCACUAUCUGGAUAAUAAACUUCUUUCAAAAUCUGAGUGCUUAGUGACAAAGGAUUUUGCAGCAUGCGCCAGGCCUGCCUAGCUAGUAGGGCAAGGUUAAAAAUCUCUAGGCCCCGAAAGCCGAGACCUCCCAUAUGCUUUGGUAAAGUCAUAACGUCCCAAGCCACCCAACUGGGCUUCCGUCUCCCUUGCUUGCUUCCCCACCAGAAUUGCCUGAUAAGUGAGGUAACACUAUCACAUAGUCCCUGGGGAAGGCGGAAACAUGCCAUCGAGUACACUGGAAUUUCUUGCGCCACUGAUUUAAUCAACACCUCCUUUCCUGCAGAAGAUAAGAGUUUCUCCAUCCAUCCUCUCACCUUUUCCCAGACUCGAUCCCUCAAGUAUUUAAAUGUCCCAUUCUUUGAAUGCCCAACAUCAGUUGGCAUCCCUAGAUACCUAGCACUGAGAGAUUCAUUAUGGACAUUCAAAAUAUUCUUAACACCAUCUCUUACCACUUGCGGGCAUCCUCUACUGAAAAAGAAUAGAUGACUUGUCAUGAUUUAUCCUCUGUCCCGACGCCAAACAGUAACUGUCCAGUAGGUUUGAUACCGCUACUGCCCCCUCGUUUCCUGACUUAAAAAGCAGCAGGCUGUCAUCUGCGAAGAGAAGGUGAUUCACGGACGGGGCCGUAGGUGCCACCUUUAGUCCAACAAUGUUUGAUGACGAAGAACUGGUUUUCAGGAGGCACGAAAGGCCCUCUGCUGCAAUUAAGAAAAGAUAAGGGGAUAUCGGAUCUCCCUGCCUAAUACCUCUACUCGGCAUAAACUGAUCAAGCCUCUCACCAUUGAAGAGCAUCGGAAAAGAAACAGAUUGAACCAUGCUCAUCAUAGUCUUUAUCCAGGGGGCGGAAAAACCAAGCUUUCCCAUCAUGGCUUCCAAGUAAUCCCACCAUCCUAUCGUACGCUUUCACCAUAUCAAGCUUUAGUGCACAAUAACUGUUAGCUUUUGAUUUGUUGCAUUUCAUAAAGUGCAGGCACUCAUACGCACUUAUAAUGUUAUCAGUUAUGAGCCGUCCAGGGACGAAAGUAGAUUGCUCCUCGGAUAUGAUGUGUGGCAGAAUUUGCUUGAGCCUGUUUGCAAUGACUUUUGAUGCUAAUUUGUAUAGAACAUUCCAUAAGCUAAUAGGCCGGAAUUAUGACAGUAUAGAGGGAUUUGUUACCUUGGGGAUUAGAACAAGUAUAAUAUCAUGUAUUCUCUCCGGGCUUUCCUCCCCUCUUACAAUCCGCAGUACUGCCUUUGUCACCUCUGCGCCACAUAAUUCCCAGUGCCUCUGGUAAAAAUGCGCCAGGAAACCGUCAGUCCCAUGCGCUUUGGUUGGUAAUAUCUGAAAAAGUGCUGCAUUGACCUCCUCACUUGAGUAAGGGCAACACAGCAGCUCAUUCAUCUCCGCCAUCACUUUCACUGGAACACAAUUAAGGACCGCUUCAAUAUUACUCAUCCCCUCUGUGGUAUACAGUGUCUUGUAAAAAUCAUGUACCCCCAAAGAAUUCUGCAAGGCUUUUAUCAUAUUCUUCUUGCGGCGUAUACUCACCCUUAAGUGGAAGAAUUUGGUGUUUCUGUUGCCCGAAGUGAGCCACUCCACCCUAGACCUCUGACGCCACAUAAUUUCCUCCCGGUGAUAAAGCUCCACAAGCUUUUCAUUAAUUUUUAAUUCCACAUGUGUGGGUACAGUACGGCUUGCAUCAGACCGGAUCUUCUCCAAUUCCUUUUUCAUCUUUUUAAAAUCUUUAUGUACACUCCCAAAUGUGUCAUUGUUCCAUCGCCUCAAAUCAUGUGACAAUGCUUGGAGUUUAGCACGGAGUUCCUCCACCCUGUUCGUGGCACCAUGAGCCGACCAUGCCUCAGUGAUCUUACUCGUCCAAGAGGUAUGGCCCUCCCACAUGACCUCGUACUUGAAGGAACUAGGCCGUUGAUGUUGUAUCUACUCUCUAUUCAUUCUCGCCAAAAUUGGGCUGUGGUCUGAUGUAGCUGCAACGAGAUGAGUAAGGUCAGCCAUAGGGAACAGGGCGUGCCAACCUGCUGAAACCAAAGCCCGGUCGAGACGCACACGAGUAAACGUGACGCCCGUCACCUUAUUUUCAAAAGUCCAGGAAAUCCCUGAAUAACCAGUGUUCAUCAGCAUGCAAACAUCUACAACAUAUCUGAAGGCCUCAAUUUGCGCAUUACUCUGCUGCCCAAUUCCCACAUGCUCUUUCGGACUUAAAACUUCAUUGAAAUCCCCAAUGCAAAGCCAAGGGAGGUUGCUCGAAGUGCUAAUGUUUUUUAAAGUGUCCCAAGUCUGAUGUCUGAGGUGGGUUUGAGCUUCACCAUAUACCACUGUUAACCUCCAUGGAUCAACGCCUGGUUCGAGAACAGAGCAGUCAAGGUGGUACACAGAAUAACCCAAAAUUUCAAUCUUUAUUUCAUUGUUCCAAAAAAUACCAAUGCCACCACUUCUACCCUGACUACUCACUGCAUAACCAUUAUCAUAACCAAGUGUUCCUGCUAGAACUUCAACCCUCGAGCCAUCAAGCUGAGUUUCUACAAUACAAAGAAGGGUAGGGGCAAAUUUCCUCGCAAAAUCGUGAAGUUCAUGGACUGUCGCAACUUUGGCCGCGCCGCGACAGUUCCAGCAGAACACACUCAUUGGGCUCCGCCAACUUUGGGUCGUUCUUGCUCAGUAUUCCAGACUUGUGCCGCUGAACUAUUUUCCAGCUCAGUCACCACCUUUGCUCUCUUCAUGUCUUGUUUGGCACUUGGGCUCUGAGGCACUGCAGGAGGCGGCAAUGCGCGCACCUUUCCCUGUUUUACAGCCGCUACUUGAUCUGAACUACUUGGCACCGCAGCUGGGCCAUGGGUCACCACAGGUUUCGACCCCCUUUUCCUGUUUCUUUCUACAUCUUGCAUCUCCAGGUCAGAUUCAGCAUACAGGUCAUCGGCCCUGUUGUACUGAGAGCUUGAGUACUCGCCUCUUCCUCCCCUUCCAGUGUGGCCACCCCUGCGGCCACGCCCACCACCUGGGCCUCUACCGUUUCGCAUGAACCAGGAUGCCCUAAGCUCCUUAAAGACCAGAGCCGAGGGAGGAUGAAUGUUGUUUCUGUGUUCCUUGAAGAGAUGGCCCAUCAUACCACACACCGCACACUAGUCGGGAAGCUUCUCAUAUUUAACCUUAUAGAUCUGAAGCUCGCCAUCCGACCCGUAUCAUGGAGACUGUGUUCUUGAGGGGUUUGGUGACAUUGAUCCUGACCCAAACACGGUAAAAGUUCCCCGUGAAAUCAUGUGACUUGGAUUCGGUGAACAACACCUCUCCCACCUUAGCAGCAAGGGACGGAACAAGAUGAGCGUAGAGGUCAGGUACAUCAUGAAUCUGGAUCCAAAUCUUAAUUGUGUCCAACAUGACUAUUGAUGGCUUCAUCACCCGAUAAUACUCUCUGAGGAUGAAAGCAUCUCCCCGGAAUGAUGUCGCUUGAACUACGUCGGUAUUUCCCCAAAGAGGAAGGGAUGAUGCAGCACAGCUACGGUAUGUAUUUCCCUCGGUGAUGAGACCAAGGUUAUCGAACCAGUAGGAGAACCAAGCAACACUAUGUAAACGGUACCUGCACACAAAGAACAAAUACUUGCAAGCCGACGUGUUAAAGGGGUUGUCAAUCCCUUUCGGGUAACGGUGCCAGAAAUUGUCAAGUUGACGGGAUAAAAAUUGUGAUAGAUUGAUAGAUGCAAAUAACGGCAAAUAAAAUUCAGCGAAGUAUUUUUGGGUUUUUGAUAAUAUAGAUCUAAAAAUAAAAGUGGCAAAUAAAUAAGAAGGCAAAUAGCAAUAUAGAUCUGAAAAUAUAUGAUGAGAAAAUACCCCGGGCCGUAGAUUUCACUAGCGUCUUCUCUCGAGAAAAUAGCAUACGGUGGGUAAACAAAUUACUAUUGGGCAAUUGAUAGAACUUCAAAUAACCAUGACGAUAUCCGGACAAUGAUCAUUAUAUAGGCACCACGUCCAAGAUUAGUAGACCGACUCCUGCCUACAUCUACUACUAUUGCUCCACACAUCGACCGCUAUCCAGCAUGCAUCUAGUGUAUUAAGUUCAUGGAGAAACGGAGUAAUGCAAUAAGAACGAUGACAUGAUGUAGACAAGAUCUAUUCAUGUAAGAAUAGACCCCAUCUUGUUAUCCUUAAUAGCAACGAUACAUACGUGUCAUGUCCCCUUCUAUCACUGGGAUUGAGCACCGUAAGAUCGAACUCAUCACAAAGGACCUCUUCCCAUGGCAAGAAAAAUCGAUCUAGUCAGCCUAACUAAACCAAAGAUUCGAAGAAGAAAUACGAGGCUAUAUGUAAUCAUGCAUAUAAGAGACCAAAAGAAGACUCAAAUAACUUUCAUGGAUAAAAUAGCUUUGAUCAUAAACUCAAAGUUCAUCGGAUCCCAACAAACACACCGCAAAAAGAGUUACAUCAAAUAGAUCUCCAAGAGACCAUUGUAUUGAGAAUCAAAAGAGAGAGAGAGGAAGCCAUCUAGCUACUAACUAUGGACCCUUAGGUCUACAAUGAACUACUCACGCAUCAUCAGAGAGGCACCAAUGAGGAUGAUGAACCCCUCCAUGAUGUUGUCUAGAUUGGAUCUGGUGGUUCUGGAACUUGUGGCAGCUGGAAUUGUGUUUCGUCGACUCCCCUAGGUUUUUUGGAUUUUUGGGGUAUUUAUAGAGCAAAGAUGCGGUGCAGGAGGCGGCCGAGGGCACAACCCAGCUGGGCACGCCUGGGCCCCCAGGCGCGCCCUGGUGGGUUGUGCUCCCCUCGGAGCCCCCUCUUGUACUUCUUUGGCCCAACAGGUGUCUCCUGGUCCAGAAAAAAUCUCCAAAAAGUUUCGCUGCGUUUGGACUUCGUUUGGUAUUGAUUUUUCGCGAAGUAAAAAACAAGCAAAAAACAGCAACUAGCACAGGGCACUAUGUCAAUAGGUUAGUCCAAAAAAUGAUAUAAAGUUUCUAUAAAAUGAUUGUAAAACAUCCAAGAAUGAUAAUAUAACAGCAUGGAACAAUCAAAAAUUAUAGAUACGUUGGAGACGUAUCAGCAUCCCCAAGCUUAAUUCCUGCUCGUCCUCGAGUAGGUAAAUGAUAAAAACAGAAUUUUUGAUGUGGAAUGCUGCCUAACAUGUUCAUCACAUUCUUUUCUCUUGUAACAUGGGCAUAUGGACUUUUAUAUGGUUCAAAGCAAUAGUCUAGUUUUGACAUGAAGAUUUCAAUACUCAAGCAUAUCAACAAGCAACCAUGUCUUUCAAAAUAUCAACACUAAAGCAAGUUAUCCCUAGCCCAUUAUGCUCAAUCAUUGAUCCAUUCAUGAAACACACUCGCAUAUUAGUUACACCCAAUGCUCAAGUACGAUCAUAGUGCCCCUUAGUUGGUGCUCUAUAAGAGAAGAUGGAGACUCAAAAUAAAAAUAAAAAUUGCAUAAAGUAAAUAGAAAGGCCCUUCGAAGAGGGAAGUAGGGACUUGUAGAGGUGCCAGAGCUCGAAGGCUUAAAUUAAGAGAUAAAUUUUUUGGGUGGCAUGCUUUUCCUGUCAACGAAAACGAUCGAGUAGUUCUCAAUACUUUCCAUGCUAGAUAUACCAUAGGCGGUUCCCAAACAGAAAAUAAAGUUUAUUUCUUUUUCCACCAUACUUUCACAUUCCACGGCUAGCCGUAUCCACGGGUGCCGUCCAUACCAACUUCUUCCAAGGAAUUUAUUAUUUGACAACAUAAAGUAAAUUCAUUUUUUCAUUUUGGGACUGGGCAUCCCUAAUACCUUUGUUGUACUCUCGUGCAAUGACAAGUGAAUAAACACUCAUCUUGAGAAUAACACAUCUAGAAUGGAAAAAUAUCAGCCACCCCCUACCGUUUCAUGAGCAGUACGGGCACACAAAAGGGGAAUUUAUUUUGAAUAUGAUAUACAAAUUUUCUUAGAACGGCAUGGAAAUACCGCAUAUAGGUAGGUAUAGUGGACUCAUAUGGCAGAACUGGGUUUAAGGAUUUGGAUGCACAAGUAGUAUUCCUACUUAGUACAAGUGAAGGCUAGCCAAAAGAUUAAGAAGCAUCGAACCAAGAAACGAAAAAUCUCAUAAGCGAGCAUUAAGCAUAACUAACACCGAAUAAGGCACCAAAAGUAGGAUGUAAUUUCAUUGAAUAACUAUUUACUUUCAUGCUUGCAUAGGGAAUCACAAACCUUAACACAAUUAUUCUUACUAAAGCAUAAUUACUCAUCAACAUGACUCACAUAUCACUAUCAUCAUAUCGCAAAACUAUUACAAAGAAUCAAGUUUAUUUUGUCCAAUGAUCUUCAUGAAAGUUUUUAUUAUAUUCCUCUUGAAUAUCUAUCACUUUGGGACUAGUUUAAUAUGUUGCUUUUGAAAGCUCAAACAAAUCUAAGUGAAGAACAUGAGCAUAAACGUUUUUCGUCUCUCAAAAUAAUAUAAGUGAAGCAUGAGAGAAUUUCUUCAAAAAUUACUAACUCUCAAAUAAAUCUAAGUGAAGCAUGAGAGCAUUUCUUCAAAAAUAUUAAAGAACACCGUGCUCAAAAAGAUAUAACUGAAGCACUAGAGCAAUUCCAUAGCUCAAAAGAUUUAAGUGAAGCACUAGAGCAAUUCUAACAAAUCAUAGCAUAAUUUGGGCUCUCUCAAAUAGGUGUGUUCAGCAAGGAUACUUGACACAAAACAAAAA
rnacentral:lncRNA from 1 species